GUGAUAUAUAAUUAAAUUUGCCUUCAACCACUAGCUUAAGCUUUUGGAUGAAUUGGUGGUUUAAUAUGGUAUCAGAGCAGGUGGUCUAGGGAGGUCCUGUGUUCAAGCCACUGCAUUGUCGUUUCCUCCCCAAUUAAAAUCAAUUUCCACUUAUUGGGCCUUUCAAAGAUUUCAAACCCAAAAGUGAGGUAAAAUUGAUUCCACUUGUUGGGCCUUUCAAAUAUUUCAAGCCCACAAGUGAGGGGGAGUGUUGGUGAUAUAUAAUUAAAUUUGCCUUCAACCACUAGCUUAAGCUUUUGGAUGAAUUGGUGGUUUAAUAAGGGCCAUGGUCAUGAACGCAGAUAGUACACUAGAACACCCGAAGGGGAACAUCAGGGAUGAGACAAGUAGAGGGAUGAGACUUUUUGAAACAUUCUAGGGGAGUCUGGAGGUGGAGGACACAAGAAGAUAUUCGGUUGAUAAAAUGAGUUGCGGUAAGAAUAUUGCCCCACACAUAGGAGGGAAGGGAAGUAGAUAACGGGAGGAAACGGGCUACUUCCAGAAGGUGACGGUUCUUUCUCUUGGGAACCCCAUUUUGUUGGGUGUGUAAGCAUAGGAGCUCUGGUGAACACUCCCUUUGAAGGAUAGGAAUCAUUAAGGGAAUGGUUUUGAAACUCAAGACCAUUUUCACUCCCUACAAAUUCAAUUUUUUGCAUUGAAUUAUGUUUCUACGGUGUGAUAAAAGUCUCAAAAAAUGGAGAUGACCUCGGAUUUGUCGAAGAUGUGAAAGAUCCCUGUAAGACGAGUAUGGUCAUCAAUGAAGGUCACAAGCCACCGUUUAUAUCGUUGUGAGGGAAAGGAGGCUCGAUGCUAUUUCUCCCGAAUACACAUCACAGUAUAAGGUAGAAACAUUCACAUUAGAGAAGAAAUGAGGAAAUAAAUGUGUAUCAUAUAUUGAAAAUUAGGGUGGCCCAAACGGAAAUGCCACAACAUACAAUCUUUUUUAGAAGUGGUAAAGCACAAAGAUAAAAAACUAGUCUUAGAGGUUCUACUGGAGGAAGCAUCAUCAUAGGAGGUAGAGUCCCCUAUUGUCUCGGGCAGAGCCAAUCAUCCUCCUUGAGCUUUGAAAAGAAACAAAAGCAGAUAAGAAUGUUGCUUUACAAUUCAAUUCAUAGGUAAUUUUGCUUAUAGACAGCAAAUUAUAAGAUAUUUUAGGCACAUGCAACACAUUAUGUAAGGAUAGCCCUUCAAAGGAAAAUUUUUACCCCUUCCUAGCAAUGGGGACCGAGGAGCCAUUGACAAUUCUAAUUUUUUCAUUACCGACAUAAAGAAAAUAUGACACAAAAUGCUCAGAAGAACCUCUCAGAUGAUCUGUGGCGCUAGAGUCCAGAGUCCAGGGGUCUUCCCAUCAACAUGAUAGAACACUGAUAUUGUGUUUUUAUUUUAUUGAUAUCACAAACAGAAAAUUACAAUAUUAAAGAACCUUAACCAGACCCUUCCUUUCUUUCAAGGAAUGUUGCUGCCCAUUAACUUCACCAAAUUCUUCAUGUCUUUCUUCCCUCCCCAACUUCCUAUUUAUAACCAUCUAAUUGCCUUAUGUAACUAACUACCCUUAGCUCUAUCUAAAUCUAGGUAUCUAACAUUACCCGGGCCUUCAAAAACACAUUGUCCUCAAGGUGUGCUUACAAAUAUGAUCACAAAAAUUGAUCCCCUUUUUCUUUUAAUUACAACUCUUCACAAUGAUAUGCUCAUCAAGUUUGAAAAGGAAAAAAAAAAAAUCCCUUUAGCUUCAAAAAAUUCUGGACUCCAAACAGAUCCACUGCCUUCAGCCCACAAACCAGUCCCCUAUUACUGAUCCAAAACAUUCUUCCUUUCCCCAUCCUUAGGCACGUUUUUUUUUCCAUUUUCCCCAUUCUUGAAAAUAUCCACCCACUUCCUCCACACAAUAAUGGACCUCCACUAUUCUGACUCUCCAUUUAUCAAAUGUUGAAGCCUGCUGAAAAAAUAAAGCCCAAGAUUUUAGGGUUUAUUCCUCUUGCACUAGCCUUCUCUCCUAUCACUUUCUGCCACGUCAUUGGCAUUCCUUUGUGUGCAACUUCAUCUUCUUCACGCAGUUUUCCCAUCUUCCCGAUCACCUCCUCGGACCACCGUGGACCGCCAUUUUCUGGCGUUUUCUUUCUCCUUCACAUCCAGACGACUGCCACCGUCUUCUUUUCCCAUCCAUUUGCCGUCAUUUUCUUCUUCAUUUGCAUCCAGACGACUACCAGCUUCUGCUGCUUCUUUUCCCAUCGCGACGAAACCACUUCCAGCUUCUUCAUUCUCCAUCGCAACCAACCAGUAUCUGUUUCCUUAAGCAACAACUUUUUUUCACUCGAAUCUUCAUUUCGUAUCUCAUCGUUAAUUCUUGCUGACCUUCUACAGUUGUUUCCCAUUUGAUGGCUGAAAUUCGUCCGCAGAACAGUUCUUCGCUCACCUUAUUUGAUCGAAACCAAUCUAAUGGCGUUUCCUCGAACCUUAUUGCUGCAUCGAUUAGUUUCCCAAAAUCACCCAGUUUAUACUUUUGUAACUUCUGUUCGGUACCUAAAAAAAUGAAUCGAAGUCGUUGCCGCUAAACACUGGUAAUUCUACCUUCUUGAGUUCGUUUGGAUCACUCAUAUCUUCUUCAAUUCCUAUCUUCUUCAUUCGUUCUUCAUUCUUGGUUUCUCUCGACGGUAUAUUUCUUCCUUCGACUGUAUUGUCUGUCAUCAACAUUUGACUUGCCGAUGCUGUGCUUUCUACACUCAUUUCAAUUUUUUUCUUCGCCAAGCUUUUGAUGUACUGAAUAUGUUACUGUUUCUUCGUUUGAUCCUCUAAGUGCUCAAUAAUACUGUUGCUCCUUUUCGAUUAUUCAAUUAUUUCCAAUAUGAAUUCUUCACCUUGCCCUACCUUAUUCUCACGCAACUUUAUUCAGCUGAAUGGAUCUUCUAUUUUGCUCGUAGUAGAUCUCUCAGGAAUCACGUCUUCAAUAUGUUUCAUUAGCGAAUCUUCUUUGAUUUCUCUCCUUUUCGCUUCUUCCUUCUCCUUUAACAACUGCUUUUGAUUUUUGAUUUCUCUCUUUUCUGUUUCUUCCUUCUCUAUCAUUUCAAUCCACUUUAACAUCCGCUGGUUGGUCUCCUUGAUUUGAAUUCCCAUUCGCUCCACAUUUUUUAUUAUGGAUUCCAGAGUUUUUGUGACUGCCAUUUUCCUUCAAUUUCCCAGGAAAUGAGUGCUUUGAUACCAAUUUGAUAGAACACUGAUAUAGUGUUUCUAUUUUAUUGAUAUCUCAAACAUAAAAUUACAAUAUUAAAGAACAAACAAGUAAAAGAAUCCUAAUCCUUUGCCCUUCCUUUCUUUUAAGGAAUGUUACAGUUCAUUAACUUCACCAAAUUCUUCAUGUCUUUCUUCCCUCCCCAACUUCCUAUUUAUAACCAUCGAACUGCCUUAUGUAACUAACUACCCUUAGUUCUAUCUAAAUCUAGGUAUCUAAUACAACACUAAUAAGAUUGAAAGAUUGAGGCAUACUUGACUGGGCAAUAGCUCCUAGUGUGGUCAAACUAGGAUCGUCCUAGUUCAUAGGUGGUUGAGAAGGUCCAGCAGACUUAGUCAUAUAGGCCCGCCUCAAAUUCUGUUUGUUUGGGAGGCCGUUUCUUACCGUCGGAGGAAAAACCAUGUAGUUUCCAACACUGGUCCUUGGUGUGCCACUGUUUUUUGCAAUGCUCACAAAUAGGGAUUAGUUUGCCAUUGUGCUACUCGCUGUCAUGAGUAGUGGAGCUCACAUUGAAGGCAACGGAUUCAAUUGCGGGGGUGGUCGAAUAUUCAUGGCGCUUGUGUGGUCCUCCUCAAGGUGAACUUCAGAACAAACCUCCAUUAGGGAAGGAAUAGGUCUAUGCCCAGUAUACGCCCACAAACUACAUCGAAUUUCAAAUUGAGGCCAGCAAGAAAGUCAUAUUCUGUUAGUCUCUUCAAUUCUAGAAUACCGUAUGCCAUCACUAGAAUAGUCCGAUGCCAUUUCUCUGCAAAGAUCCAUUUCCUCUUAAAUCAGAAAAAAAUUGUUAAAAUAGGAUGUUAUAUCCAUUGCCCCUUGCUUGCAUUCAUGGACUGGUUUUUGCAGUGUGUAGAGCCGACAAGCAUUUUGAUGCUUCGAAUACAAUUUCUUAGCUUUAUCCCAAAUGUCCUUAGCAGUCGCAGCAUACAACAAAGGCUUCCCAAUUUGUGGCUACAUACUGUUGAUUAACAUGGGCCAAAUUAAAGAAUCCUCCCCUUUUCACUAGCGUUUCUGGAGAUCUUCUGGUAGCGGACGGGGUAUUUCCUUUGUCAGAAAACCAAAUUUGUGGCGUCCCUCUAGGAUCAAUUUUCAUAGACUGGGACCACAAGAAACAGUUUUGGCCCUUCAGUUUCUCUCCUAAAAAAUAUCCUGUAGACUAUGCCAAUAGACACAUAAGAAGAAAACAAAUUAGGGAACGACGUUACCGGAUUCUUGGAAUACAUCAAUAAGGUUGGAGGAAUGCCAUGACUAGGAGUGUUUGUAGGAGCCCCUAGUGUUGCCUCAAAUGCCGCAAUUUGUUUUUUUUUUAAAAAAAAAGAGACGAACUUCAAUAUUAUUAAAACUCAAAGUACAAGAGAGUUACACAUUGAGAGUAAUAGAGAAGCCUAGAAAUGGGAGAGAGAGAGAGGAUCAGUAGGUGCACCCAGACAUCUCAACUAGGUUGACACCCCAUUAGUACCUUCGUCAUAUCCAAAAAAACAAGAACAAUAAUAAGGUCUUGAAAAGGCCAAGAUAACAACCAAAUAACAAUAUAAGCUUCCUACGGUAGACAAAAGCAAAGCUGAAAAGUAAAAACUCAACAGUAGAAAUACAAAUUAAGGCCCGUCAAAACUAUAAAAGCACAAAUUCUGAACUAGCAAUCGUGGAAACUGCAUUUACUCUCUUCAGAUGAAUGCCACAAUUUGUUAUCUAAGCAUGUCCAGUUGUUGUUGGGCGGUACCCUGAGAAAAGCCUUGCACUUGACGUUUGGACUAAGUCGAGGAUUCACCAACCUCAAAUGUCGACUGGGCAUGAGGAUUACCAACACCGGGGUGACAAUUGGGUAAAGUUUCUGGAGAGGUAUAGUAUCAGGUCGGGUAGUGGUGUAGGAUUUGGUUCGUUGUGGUGUUGGAUAGAUCUAGGGUUUGUGGCAAACUGGUAGGAUUUGUGGUAGGAUGAUGUAAUUCAAGUUGGAUUGAUUUUUCAAAAGAAUUCUCUGCCAAUAAUGGCUAAGAUAAGGGGUAUUUAUUGAGAAUUUGUAAGUAGUUACAAUUAGUUGAAAUUACUGUUUAUGAAACAGCCUUAACUGUUAAACAGUUUAACUGUUUAAACUGUUUUACUAACUAACUACAGCUGUUUAACCAUAGCUUUAUUCUAUAUUACAUCAUUCCACCCCCUUAGCAUCAAACUCGUCCCGAGUUUGUCAUGAAAGUUGAAAUCCAUCUGGUGCAAUGGAGUAUGACCAAACCAACCUCCUACAUUUUGGACAAAAAUAUUGUGAUCGAAGGGAUAAAAUCGAGACAAAAAAUCAAAUAUGGCCACUAAAAGAUGAAUCUCUCCAUCGGCCAUAAACCCAAAAGAGACGUUCCCUUCAAUCUCAUUUAAAGCCGUCUUCAAAGAAUCAAUUUCAAAAGAAUAAACUUUUGAAGAAAAUCCUUCGUUAAUCUUUUUCGUUAUAGGGAGUAAGACUACCUUUCUUCCCAUCCAUUGAAACUCAUAUGUAUUUUCUCUCCAUUUGUGUAAUGAUUGAGUAUCAUACUGCCAAGGUCUUCCUAGUAGGAGAUGGCAUACAUCCAUCUCAAUGACAUCACAAACAAUUUGGUCUUUGUAGGCGUUUCCAAUGGAGAGAGGGACUGUACAGAUUUCGCUGACCGUGGCUUCUCCUCCUUUUCUCACCCAACCUAUCUUGUAAGGGUUUGGAUGUGCUUCAGCCUUUAGAUUCAAGACUGUUACUAAUUUCUUUGCUACGAAGUUUUCACUGCUGCCGCUGUCUAUGAUUACAUCACAUACUCUUCCGUUUAUGGUGCAUCUUGUCUUGAAAAGACAGUGGCGUUGCAGGUUCUUUUCUUCCUUGGGCGUAAUUAGUAACCGUUGGAUAACACAAGAGACCCUUUCCCCAUCAUCUGCUUCAAUCAGUUCAGUUUCUUCCUCUGCUUCUAUACUGUCUUCACUUGUCUGUCCUCCUUCUUCGGCUAUUGCAAUGGUUCUUCUUUGCGGACAGUUGUUGGACAGGUGGCCAGUUUGGCCACAUCGGAAGCAUUUUCCUAAUGACGGGCGGGAGUAGUUGUUCUGACCACUAGGCUUGAACGUCUGUUCUUUCUUUCUUUCAACGGCUACUUCUUGAUUAUCAAUCUCUUUCCCUUUUGCUUUUGUUGAGGUUGAAGGUUGGUCGUUUGUUUUGCUUUUUGUCGAAUUUGUUUCCCAUGCUGAUCUUCUAUUUAGAUUCUUGGAUCGAAUUGCAAUCAUCUCCUCUACCGUUUCUGCAAAUGAUAUUGCUUCAGACAGGAAACAGAAUGGUUGUAGUCUGACCUUUUCCUUGAUGUCGAAUCGAAGGCCUCCCACAAAUCUUGCAACCUGGUGCUGUUCAUUUUCGCUUAGGUUUGUUCUUGCACUCAGGCGGUGGAAUUCUUCAAUGUACUCAGCUACUGUCCGGACACCUUGGCGGCAGUUUUGGUACUGAUUGUAUAAAGUUUGUUCGUAGUUUGGUGGUAAGAAUCUUGCCUUCAGUAAUUUUUUCAUCUUUUCCCAUGAGCGAACCGGUUGUUUCCCGCAUCUUUGUCUAUUGAUUUCUAACUGAUCCCACCAAGCUGAUGCACCAGCCCUUAAUUUUAAGGCUACUAGGUGGACUUUCUUGCGUUCAGGUGUAUCCAUGUAGUUGAAGAAGUUUUCAGUACUCUUUAUCCAGUCCAAGAAUGCUUCUAUGUUUCGUUUGCCAUCAUACAUGGGAAGGUCAAUCUUCAUCUUAUAAUCGUGGUAUUCUCCUCUUCUGGCCUCAAUUCUUCGGUUAUUUCUUCCUGCUCGUGCUUCAUCAUUGAAGUUCCACAUGUUUCCUUGUUCAUCCCCGCUUGAAGAAUCAUCUUCUUGGGUUUCUUGCCAAGCUUCUUGAUCUUCUUGAAGGUCUUCGUCAAUCUGUUGCUGUAUAGCGUAACCGGGUCUCCUUCUUUGAAGUCCUCGUGGAUUGUUCAUGUUUCUAAUGUAUCCCCUUGCUCGCCGGCCUCUUGCUUCACCAAAACGUUGGUCGUUUUGGAAGUUAAUUUCAUUCCGUGGUGGUGGCUGUGGGAAUUCUCCUCUUCGGUUUAACAGUUCGACACUUUCCAUCAACCUAUCAAAUUUGUUGUGGAGAUCUCCCAAAGAUUCUUCAACAGCCAGCAAGCGAACUGUUGAUGUCUUUGGAGAGAGGACGGUGAUUUCCUCCGCCGCUUCUUGCACACGGUUUUCCCCCGUGGCAGGGUUGUUAACUCUUCGGCCAGCCAUUCCGUCCCAAGAAUCGGGGCUGCUCUGAUACCAAUUUGAUGUAAUUCAAGUUGGAUUGAUUUUUCAAAAGAAUUCUCUGCCAAUAAUGGCUAAGAUAAGGGGUAUUUAUUGAGAAUUUGUAAGUAGUUACAAUUAGUUGAAAUUACUGUUUAUGAAACAGCCUUAACUGUUAAACAGUUUAACUGUUUAAACUGUUUUACUAACUAACUACAGCUGUUUAACCAUAGCUUUAUUCUAUAUUACAUCAUAGGAUGUGGCUGGAUAGUGGUUGAAUUAGAGAUACAUCUAGGGCUUGCAGCUACUAGGUCUAGUGUUUGCGGCAAGGUGGUAAAGGAGGCUAGGGUUUGCAGCUGGAUAGGGACUGAUGGUUGGGCACUGGACAGCAGCUGAGGUCAGAUUGGAAGUCGAUGCAGCUAGGGAAAGCAUAUCGGAGGUUGAUGGACGUUCGCGGCUGGUUGAGGACAGUAGAUCGGCGCAUGGACGGACGUUUGUGGCUGGUUGAGGGCAGUAGAAGAGGUCGAUAACGUGUGUGGUUGAGAAUCUGAGCUGAUCAACGUGCUUUGAAGGUAAAAGAAGAAGUCCAUCACGGCGACGAUUCUCGUGUCCAUGGUGAGUGCAUUGUGGCGGCGACGACGGCACGAAUGUUGGCGACUGUUUUGGUAGUCUCCUCUUUUUGGGUUCCAUUAAGAGUGGUGUCGUAUAGGAUUUUGUCGUUAUCACGAUCUGAUACCAUAUUGAAGGUAAUGACAAAAGAAAUAACACACAAGUUUACGUGGAAACCCUAGAGUAGGGAGAAAAACCACGGUAUUGUUUUCUAUUUUUAUUUUCUAGUAAUCACUAAAGAUGCAAUAGGGGAAAAUAAAAAGACAACAAUAGCUUAUUGUAAACAAAGAAAGAAUAUUAGGGCAAAUCUACGGAUGGGCUUAAAUCCACUAAUUCUAACACAACCAAGCAAACAUGUUUGUGUAAGUAGAUGAAGUAUAUACUUCUUUUGGUUGACAAGAAUGCCACUUUUGAACUUGGAAAUAUUUUAAAGUUCCUAGGUCCUUGAUUUGAAAAUCAUCAGCUAACUUUUUCUUCACAAAAGCCAAUCCUGUCUCAUCAUUGCCUCUAAGAAUGAUAUCAUCAACGUAAACUAUCAAAUUCAUAACCUUAUCAUUUCCUGUUUGUUUAUAGAACGUAGUAUGAUCGGCUUGACUUUGACUAAAUCCAUAUCUCGUGACUAUUUUUUCAAAACUUUCAAACCAGGCUCUAGGAGACUAUUUAAGACUGUACAAUGACUUUUUAACUUGCACACUUUUUUAAUCCCGAGGUCUACCUCAAAACAAGGUGGCAAGUCCAUAGAUACCUCUUCUUGAAGAUCCCCAUUGUGAAAGGCAUUCAUAGCAUAUAGUUGAUAAAGAAGCCAAUCAAAGAUAAAGUUCUUGAGAGGUUCUCCUAGCCAAACUUUGCUCCAAUCAUCAGAAAAGAAGCUUGUUUCAAAUUUUGACUCUCCAUUUAGUGUGAGCAAUGAGGAAGAUGAUCAUUUGAUAAGAUUAGAUGCGAAGGAAGAUCAAUGGUUGAAGGACCCUAUAGAAACUGAUCUAAAUUCUCUCUUCCAGACCGAGGAAGAUUUAAUUUUUGAGAAGCAAGCCUCUAGACGUCCAAAAAGUAUGAAACAUGAAAGGUUGCUAUACCGAAUUUGACCUAGAGAAGUCCUAAAAAAUUUCUCUCUGAGUCCAGGGAGUUUGAUCUCUGAAAACCUGUCUUACUCCUCUGGAGGAGAAUAAUUCGGACAUCCCUACAGGUAAAAGAAGCAUUAAUACAGCAAACUAGUUUAGAAAAAGGAGUUUGCAUUCAAAAUUCUGUGAAAAGGAACCACUAAAACUCUAUAAUUGAAGAAUUACUCUCGGACUCUAACCUAUAGAUAUUGGCUGUGUUGUUUUGUUUGAGGGUAAUCUACAUUUGAAUAAAAUUCCCUCUUUGCUCUACAGCAAGUAAUGUACAUAUGACAUUUAUCUUGGUGCUUUCCAGGGUGACGUAGGAUGUGGGAAGACAAUCGUUGCUUUUCUGGCAUGCAUGGAAGUUAUAGGCACUGGAUAUCAGGUUUAUCUUCUGGAUAUUUUAGAUAUGUUUUAAUACAUUGUUUGAUGUCUUGAACAAAUACUGGUUACUUUAUAAUUUAAAAAUAGUCAUUUCUCAUUUUAGGUAAAUUCUGUGAAAAUCUGAGAUUCCUUGUUAUUAUCUGUAGGCAGCAUUCAUGGUUCCGACUGAGUUACUUGCUAUUCAGCAUUAUGAGCACUUGCUUGGUUUAUUAGAGAACAUGGAAGGGGUCGAGAAUAAACCUUCGGUUGCUUUACUGACAGGUUCUACCUCAUCAAAACAAUCACGGAUGAUUCGCGAGGUCUAUAUUAUCACCUAAUUGUUUUGUAACUUUUUUUUCAUGUUACUCCUGAAUUUGAAAUUUUAAUUUCAGGGUCUGCAAUCAGGAGAGACUUCUUUAGUUAUUGGAACUCAGAGUCUAAUAUCGGAAAAAGUGGAGUUCUCUGCUUUACGCAUUGCAGUUGUGGAUGAGCAGCACCGUUUUGGUGUAGUCCAGAGAGGGAAGUUUGGUAGUAAGGUGGUUGCCUCAUCUGUAGUAACAUAGUGCUUCAUUUUUUACAAAAAUUCAAACAUAUCUAUAACCAUUUUGUCUAAUUGCAAUAGUAGUGGGCAAUUUCAUUUAACAUAUUCGAGAAUUGUCAUUUGACUUCUGUCAAGGAAGUUUUCUGUAUCUUCACGACUGUACCUUCAAAACUGGAGAGUCGGAGACCAAGUAGUUUCAUUCCCUGGAUAUUCAAGGGGUCACUCUUUUGCUAGAAAUCUUCCAAGAGAGACUUGGUCUCUGUGUUUUGCAGUCUCCUCCAUUUUGAGUUCUCACUUUCAUUCUCUUUUGUUUAUUUACAUUAUUUUUCUUCCCUCCAGUUUUUCUCUCUUGUUAUAAAAAAUGUUUCUUCUUGUCCUGUCUAAAAGACUAAUUGGAUUGCUUCAGUUCUGAGACAAUAUCUUCUGGUUGUGCCAAAGACUUUGUGCUUCAUUGGCGGGCCACUCUUGCAAAGAUAGCUAAAAUUCUUUUUCUUCAUGCCAUAUUUAUUGGGAGGAAUGACAGAUCUUUAUUUAAUUUAGUACCUUGAACCGGAUGUCACACUUUUUAUUUUAGAUACUCUCGUUCUAUGCUUAUUACCUAUCGGAAAAGGUUUAUGUAAUCUCCAUUUAGUUUGUUAGGAUUGACAGACUUGAUCUCUCCUCCGUUUCUUUCGUUUUAAUCAUUAAUUGUCUACAAAAUUACUUUUAUAUUGGUUAGAAGCAAAAAUCUAUUAGUGCUACUAGACUUCAAUUAUGUUGGGUAGAAUUUUUUAUUUUAUUUUUCUUACUACUGUCUGCUGCAAAAUGAUUUUGCCUUUUUUUUUUAAUUUUAUUUUUAUUAAAGUCUUAAUUUUUUAAUUUCUUUUUUGUCUUAAUCUUACCAUCCAAAAACUGAUGGUAUGUUAUCACUAUUGACUGUAGUUAUUCAACAACUCUAUAAGUUCGAAAAUUGCGGCAGAGCACGCUGAUGGAACCUCAAGUGGAAAUUUCUCUAUGGCUCCUCAUGUUCUUGCCAUGUCAGCCACUCCUAUUCCAAGGACGCUUGCUCUUGCAUUGUAUGGAGAAAUGUCGCUGACUCAUGUACGUUCAUAAUUUUUUUCAAAUUGACAUCUACUGCUGAUGUAGUUCACAUGAAAAGUAAUUUUCCACAUAACCAAAAGCCAAUAUACAACUGGUUAACAAAUAUAGUAUUACUUUGAGUAAUUUAAAACUUCUACUUAAGGAAGAAGAGUACUAAGGACCUGCUGUCUUUAGUUAAUGAUUGUGGCAUAAUUCUGGUAUAAGGGGUCAGCUUGCUAUUUUCAGAAUUCCAAGUACUCUCCUUCCUCUCAUCUGAAAAGUUUUUGAUUCUGAAGACCACAAUUGUUUAUUUAAAGCCUUGUGGAAGUCAAAUAACCCCGGAGAGUUAAUAUUCUGAUUUGGGUCCCUUAACAGUGCUGAUACUCUGCAAAAGAAGGCUCCCAACAAGUGUUACUGCCCUUGGUUUGUCCUUUGUGCUUGAAGGCCAAUGAGACUAUACUCCAUUUUCUUUUUGUUAUGUCCCUUCUCUUCCUUCUGCUGGAAUAGAUUCUUCUCCAUUUUCAAUAUUGCUUGGGUUUUUAUGGCUCCCUUUGUUCCUCGGUUCUCCCAGUUGGCCCAUCCAUUUUUUAGAAAGAAAGAAUUGGAGCUUCAUUCACCAUUCAAUGUAAGCAGCGAAGAUUUUGAAGGUUCUCCAAUCGUUCAUGAAAUGUUCACACAGGAAGAUAUUAAAGGCACAGACUUUCAGGCUCUAGUCACUUUUUUUGGUUCUAUAAUUGGUUGCACUGGAUUUUGUAUAGAGAAACUUGUGUGGUUUGAAGGUUGCAAUAAAAGAGAUUGGGUUUCAAGUCUCUUAAAACACUUAAUUUAGAACUAGUACUCUCACAAGAAUCAAAGAAGUUGGACUCAAGAACUGUUUCCAACCGGUUGAACAGUUUUUUAGUUUUAGCAGUUUUUGUGGUUUUAUCUUAGUGAAGUUUCAGCAAGGCUGUUCGUUGUCGUCUUGGUGUUCCCUCUUCACUCAUCUCGAAGCUUAGUGUGGGCAUUUUGUCAGCUUACUUUGGAUUCCUUUUGACAUCUGGUGUAAUUAAUUACUUUGUACCUAUUUUACAUUUUAGAUUUCAUCUGUGCUUCAGGAUAGAGGAUUUUGUUUAGCUCGUUGUUAUUGUUGAUUUUGAAUUAGCUAUUGUUUGUAUAUGGUUUGGCCCUUUCUCUCUCUAUAUAACUCUCUUGUACUUUGAGCGUUAGUCUCUCUUAUUAUUAUUAUUAUUAUUAUUGUUAAUAAAGAGGCUCGUCUCUAUUUCAAAAAAAUAAAUAAGGAAAAAAUAUAGACAUAAAAUUAAUAAUACAAGAGAAAAGUAAAUUCAACACCAACGUUACCACUGAGUCAAAAUUUAUGGACUUGCCACUUGGUUUUAAAUUUUUCGCUGCCACUAUCAUCUAUAAAGGCAAUAAAUGAGUGUGGUCAUCUAUAAAGGUAACAAACAUAUUCUAGACACGAUUACCAAAUAUUAGGGCUAUAAACAAAGGAAAGUAAAGUCUUGAAACAAAAGCACUCAGCUCCUGAAAGAAGGAAAAAAAAGAAAGCAGAAAGAUAGGUAACUCCUCAAGGUGAAGCCUUUCAGCUAGGGAAAAUAAAUCUCUUUUGGAUAUUGUGAAACAGUGAGCUCAGAGUUGAAAUUUGGUUCGUGAGAUGAAAGGAUUGCAACAUGACCAGAAAUAUUGAUCCAUUGAUUUUGUGGUUUUUGUUUAUUCUGUUAGCCCUUAGGCACGCCUGUUUCUUUGUAUAUUAGUUGUUCCUUUAAUUGUUGACAGAAGUGAUCCAUUGAUACCUACAGAUUACUGAUUUGCCUCCUGGACGGGUACCAGUCAAAACAUAUUCAAUUGUGGGUAACGAUGAAGGCUUUGAGAAAGUUUAUGAGGUCUUUUCUUGUCCCUACAUUUGAGACUUGCAUUUCUUAAAAUUAAUUUGUCAUGUAUGUUUGAACCUUUAAAAUUUUCAUAAAUUGCCUUUUGUUAGAAAUGGAAACAAGAUUGCUAGUUGAAACAUACUUGAAUGUAAAUUGGUGGAAACAUGAUUUUUUAUCUUACUUAUUUAAUGAAUUAGAUGCUUCUAUUUUAUGUGGAAGUAUUAUCAAUCUUUUGUUUUUUUGUAUAUUAUUCUCUCUGGAAGAGAGGCUUUUCUUUAUUUAUUUUGGAUACUCAUCUUCUUGUUUGAUGAAAAUGAUUUACAUGAUGAUAGAUGAUGCUGGAUGAGUUAGAUAAAGGAGGGAAGGUGUAUCUUGUAUAUCCAGUGAUUGAGCAAUCUGAUCAACUGCCUCAGCUUCGUGCUGCUUCAGAAGAUCUUCAAUCCAUUUCUUACAGGUUUCAGGGCUAUAACUGUGGGUUGUUGCACGGGAAAAUGAAGAAAGAUGAAAAAGAGGAAGCGUUACGGAGAUUUCGAAACGGAGAUACGCAGAUACUACUUUCUACACAAGUGAUCGAGGUUGGAGUGGAUGUUCCUGAUGCAUCAAUGAUGGUUGUUAUGAAUGCUGAGAGGUUUGGAAUUGCUCAGCUCCAUCAAUUAAGAGGACGAGUUGGACGUGGAAUGAAGAAGUCUAGGUGCAUCUUGGUGGCAUCUACUACAAGCAGCUUAAGUCGGUUGAAGGUGUUGGAGAAUUCAUCUGAUGGUUUUCAUUUGGCAGAAGUUGAUCUUCUUUUACGUGGGCCUGGUGAUUUGCUUGGUAAAAAGCAGUCAGGACAUCUUCCAGAAUUUCCAAUUGCAAGAUUGGAGGUAGAUGGGAAUAUUUUGGAAGAUGCACAUCUUGCCGCUUUGGUAAGUUUUCCUUUAGCUCCAUUUUUUAUUUGCAUGAAUGAUCAAGCAUAUUAAACAAACUCUAUUUCUAGCUCUGAAUUAUGUACCAUAUGAGAAGAAAAAAAUUUGGUCAAAUUAUGAGUGUGGUCGUUGCAAUUAUCAUGAUUGUGUUUGUGUAGUAGUCGUGUUAUAAAAGUUUCUGAUAGGAUUUUGAUUUUUUAGAGUUGUGUCUAUUUAGUCCUUAUGGUUUUAAAAAGUUUUUGACAAGUUUUUGACCUUUAAAUUUUGCGUGUAAUAAGCUUCAAUUGUUUACUUUGUUGAUUUAAUGUUGAUGUUUAGGAAUAAGGUAUUAUGGUCAAAUCCUUAAUCUAUUAGGAUUAGGAUUAGAAUCUUUUAUUAAUUAUUAUAAGGAUUAGUUUCCUUCAUUUACUAGGAUUAGGAUUAGUUUCUUUUAUUAAUUAAGAUUAUGAAUUGUUUGUUUUUGAAAGUACCUGUCUUCUCGUAUUCAUAACUUUUAAACAUUAACAAAAUUCAUUCUCAUAUUUGGUGUGCAUCAUGUGUACCUAAUUUUAAGAGGUUUAUAAUGGGUCACUGUACUUCUAAUCUUUUCUGCACUAAAAUUCUUGUUAACGUCAUUAAUGAAAUGCAUAUAGUAUUAAUGUCAAAGCUUACCCCAACUCGACCACCAUAUAAUCUUUCAACAAUGUGAUUAGUAUACUACAUAAGUAUUCAAUUGGUAAGGUUAACGUUAGAGACCUAUUAAGCACAAAAUCAAAAGUCAAGACUUAUUAAAAACAUUUUGAACUAUAUGGAAAUAGAUCUAUUAGAUACUGUUGGAUUUCUUAUUAUUUAGUCAUAUUUAUGUAUAGAUAUUCUUUGUUAACAUUGUCCUUUUGUGUUUUUCUCUUUUCUUUUGUGUAAUGAGUCUCUUCUGUAUCAGAGGUCCUAUGUUGCAUAUCUGAAUUAUGAAUAAAAGAUUAAUAUUUCAUUUUAAAAUCCUUCUGUAAGUUAAGAUUUGGAGACCUGUUAAAAGCUUUUCAAAGUAGAGAGAUUAAGCAGUCUUAACCUUAAGAGUUUAUUACAAGACUUUCAAUACCCACUUAAAUUUUGCAUGUGUACAUACAUACACAUAUAUAUAGAUAUAUAUUUAACGUUUGAUAUCUCCCUUGGGAUCACAUUGGUUCAGAAGUAAACUCAGAUAGCGAUUUGCUCUCACAUGCAGAAAAUUUUAAGCAUUUCUCAUGAUUUGGAGCAGUUUCCUGCCCUGAAGAUGGAGCUUAGCAUGAGGCAGCCACUUUGUCUACUUGGUGAUUAGGUUUCUUCCAUAUUUUAAACUUGAACUCAAUAUGUAUUUGCAUUUGUACAGAUAGUGUAGUCAGUUUUUAUCCAAGCAUCAGUAAAUAUUUUGAUGCAUUUACCAUUAUUGAUCAAUCAUUUUAGCGAUGUGAAUACAAUUUUAGGUUAAAAUACAAUCUUUGAUUUUGUAUUUUGAGAUUUGUUUAAUUUUAGUUGAUAUACGUUAAAAUAUUCAACUUUAAUCUUGGUAUUUUUAAUACGUUUAAUCUAGAAGUAUAGUAGAUUUAAGAUUUGUAAUAAAAAUACAAGACCAAAAGUGAACAUUCUUAUGUACGACUAAAAUCGAAUUAGAUAGAGAAAACCAUCCUGAGUCAGUUUUGUGGUAAAUAGGUGGACUUGACCUUGAUAAAGAGCCAAGAAGGCAUGUGAAUAUAUGAUUGUUACAUAUGUAGGACUUAAUAUCUUAACACCUAAGAAAAGGUUAGGGUAAGGGAUGAAAUAGUAAAGAGUAAAGAGUUGUGAAGUUGUGAAUGCAUGAGGCCCACCCUGCAAAGAGUUAAUAAAAAUGUAAGUUUGAUGUUAUUUUUAAAACUUUUAGGCCAAACAAGGAGUAGAGUACAUAACUCUCUACUUGUAUGUUUUUGCUUUCAAACUCUUUGGAUGAAACAUUAACAUAGCAUAAAUGUUUCAGAGUUAGGUUGGUUGUUUCGUGAAAUUGAAUAAAAUGCGUGUAAAUUGGUUUAGACACUCAUAAAUAAUAAAAAAAUUAAAGAUAAAAGAUAAAAUGAUAUUUAAACUAUAAGUAGAAUAGAUAAAUGCUUUUACACGUUUCAAGGGAUUGGUUGAUGAACCCAUUUCCUAGAACUUGCAAAAUAGUAACUGCACAUACCAAUGUCUUGUAAAACUUCUAGAACGCUUCAAGUAAGAAUGAUGUUGUAGAAGGGGUUGACGUUGUGGUUCGCGAUGUUAUUCCAAUGCUGUGUCGUAAGAGGAUGCCAUUCACAACGCGAUGCCUACAUUGAGAAAAGUUUCACUAGUUUUUUUUUUAAUUUUUAUAAUCAAAUUUGAUUUAAUUUAAUUGAAAUUGUAAAACAGGUAACAUAAAAUUAAUAAAAUGUCAAAGCAAAUAUAUAUUAAAAUUAAUUAAAAUAUAAAAAUAAAACAUACGUUUCGUUUGAAGAAUGAAUCAAUAAAUCUCAACUAAAAACAAAACGAGAAAAAACUAAUCAAAGAGAUACAUAUAUACAUAGUAGUCCUCCCAUGUCUUCCAACCUAUGAUGACAUGAAAUUAAAGUAUAAAUAUAUAUCUCAUCCAAAAAAAAAUGAAAGAAUGUAAAAGUUCGAAAUUACUUACAUUAAAUGAAGAAACCAAGGUUCUCUGGCUGACUGAUCAAUGAGUUUCGCAAUCAUCUUCAUCAUUUCCAUUAUUUUCUAUUCCCUUUUCUUGUGUUGCAGUCUAUUUUGUUCUUCUACUUCCCCAAGACGAGUUGUUAGCACGUCAACCCGCUUAACGUGCAUAUCUCGCUCGUGGACUAAUGUAACUGAGAAAGAAUUGCCAGCAGCGUGUCUGGACUUUGGCCUAGGGUCCUAACUAAGACCCUUUGAGUAGUCUGUUCAUCUACGCAAUACUGUCUUGCAUAUCUCUACAUCAGAUAGUGGUUGAGAACCCUCUGCAGUGGGCUGAGACUGGAUGACCAUCAUUUGAUUCUGCAAUAAAAUUUUGAUUGAAAGUUAUAAAACACGUGUAAAUAAAAUGUAUGUACAAAAUGAAGACAAAAAGCAUAAUAGAAACUUACAUGACCCUCUGCAGCUGCUGGCGAAAUAAACUGGCCAUCCUGAACGUGCGUUUCCUUGAACAACUCCACUCGAUCGAUUGGAUGAGCCCGUCGUUCAAUGAGCUUAUGCACUCAUUGUAUAAACAACUUGGCGCCACUAUUGUGACUACAGGGCUGCUUCGCUCUAGCAGCCCUAUUCAUCGAUGAUUGCGUCUACAUGCAAACAAUAUCAAAAUGUUACAUAAAAAAUGAAUUAUUGUUUGAGAACAUUAAUAAGUUCUAAAUCACUUGAAAUUGUCGGGUAAGAUAGUGGUCGCAUAAGAAGUGUCAACCUUCUACACGAUUCUUCAAUUUGGGUGGUGGGUUGGCACAUGCCUAUUUAGGAUCGUUGAACUUCUUGAAAUGAUGAUGAUUUUGCCCCCUGAACUCCUUCCAGGUGGUGAGCAUCUGAUGCUCAACAAACCAAUUAAGUAUUAGAUUUGUGAAAUCCAGUUGAAAAAUUGCUCCAAAAGUACAAACGGAUUAAAAUUCUAUAUAUAUACGUGGUAGGUAUAAUUAACAUAUAUGUAUGUGUGAUUGUAAAACUUACCUGUAAAGAGCCCUUCACGAGCUCGAUAUAAUCUAGCACAACAUCAGUCCACAUAAGAAAGUGAUCUAGAAAAGUAUUAUGCGUUAUCACUCUGGUGGUAUAGCUAAAGCAAAGGACGUGUGGGAAGAUUGACUUAUCCUGUCUUGGGCGAUUGAUAUGGGGAUCUUUCUAUUUUGUGGAACAUAUCGCUCCAACUCCAGGUUCCUCAAGUGUUCACGUCUCCUAAGCAUGUAAGCUGUUGUAGGCCCUCUACGAAAGCAUAAUAAUUUUAUAAAUUAAACUCCACACUUAUGCAAUUAAUUAUUUAUGUCACGAUGACUAACCUAAUGUGUCGCCCACCGACGACGAAAGUCCUAUGUUAUUAAACUCUACGACAUUAAAGUAAAAAGAUCAUCAUUCUCAUCCACAUCGAGAGGAAAAUUAGACAUAGUAAGAUCAUCAUUCUCAUCCACAUCGAGAGGAAAAUUAGACAUAGUAGUACCUGAUGACAAUAAACCAAGAAAUUGAUUAAACAUAUGAGAGUAUUUGAAACUUAUUAUCUAAAAAACAAAAUAUAUGUCAGUACGUGAUUCAUCAUUGUUAUUAUUCGCCAUCGCUUGAUCUGCUUUGAAUAGAUAAUUUUUCAUCAUCAUUAUUAAUGAAGUCAUCUACGACAUGACACACAAUUGGACUUUCCACGAUUGUAGGGUCAAUGUCGCAUAUGCACAAGGUGUCAUCCUCAAUGUGAUCACUCACACAAUGUCUGACAACUUCAAGUACAUUUAGUUGUCGAUCCUCGACAUCUUCCACUUCGAGUACAUCUCAUAUACAUUUAUUUUAGAUCACCUGAACAACCUUCCAAGGUGGCAAGUUGUAAAGAAUUAACAUCACAUGUCAUAUACUAUAGGCGGUACUCAUAUUCCGAAAUGGAUUGAAUCCAUCAGAAGUUAAUCACAAACGAACGUUUCGUGGAUUUGAAGCAAACUCAAGAAAUUUAGAACCAAAAUGCUUCCAUCCCUCUGCAUCAGUUGGAUGUCUCAACACGUCCUCUAUUUAGACUCGUUUAUCCUUAUGUCAUCUCAUUUUAUACAAGCGCUCUUGCGAUACAAACAUAAUCUUUGUAAUCUUGGUAUCAACUGAAAGUGCCACGAUACCUUGUGUGAAAUUGUUUUCCCUCUGUUAGGACGAACUUUGUUCCAAGACUCACCACAAACUAGACAGUGUUGCAAAUCGACAAAUUUCUUCAAGUACAAUACACAGUCGUACUUAUAGGCAUGAAGAAUCACAUAUCUCAAGCUCAAAUCAUGAAAUUUUUAUUUUUCCUCGUAGAAUGAGCUAGGGACAUUGGUACCACACUACGAGAACUUUCACAUGCAUCAUCGUAACCAAAAAGUUAAGAGAUGAAAAUUAUGAACAGCCAGAGUAUAACUCACGACAUGCUUAGUUUAAUAACUCCUAAAAUAUAUUUGUCGUCUCCUCUUCUACACCACUAUUUAGUGACACAUCAUUCUCCAAACAUUCCUAAGAAUAACAAUUUUAAUUUAAAAUUUAUAAUAAACAUAAAAACAACAUACAAUUAUUUGUAAUAAAAAUACAUACGAUAUACAAUUAUUUAUAAUAAAAAUACAUACGAUAUACAGUUAUUUAUAAUAAAAAUACAUACCAUAUACAAUUAUUUAUAAUAAAAAUACAUACCAUAUACAAUUUACAAUUUAUAACAGAAGUACAAUAUACAAUUUUUAUUUAAACAAUCUACCGAUAAACAUAUAUACAAUCACAAUUUCAAUUUCAAUAUACAUAUACAUAAUAUACAUACAUACAUCCUUCCAAUAUACACAUACAAUUUACAAAUAUACACCUAUACAUAUACAAUUUACAAUUUACACAUACAUUGUCACACCCCAAGCCAUAUACUAUCUACGAAAAUGUUGAAGUAGUAGCAAUAGGAUGUCAGUUUGUUAUAACUAUGAAAUUUUCUUAUCGCAAAAUAUUAUUCUCAACUCAUUUUAUACUAUUAGCAAAACUUAAAACGCAAUGAUGGUCAACCUAAACGCAAGUAUAAUAAAUACCUACCAAAAGAUUUAUUAAUAACAGGCGUUUGUUACACAAUUACAACACUUUAACCAAACAACCAAUGCUUAACUAUUUCCAAAAUGUUUGGAGUCAUCUCGCUGCAAAUCCUUCAACCUUCAUCUCUAGUUGACCUAAACGUCUGAUUCUGGAAGAUGAAUUUUUGAAAGAAUGCCUAAAAGACUGAGGUUUUAUGAAAUCUUUUUCGCAAUACCUUUUCAUAAACAUCAUUCCGCAUAAAUAACAUCAAAUAAUUUCAUCUCGCAUAAAUCUUUCUUUAUGCUUAACAUAUUCAUAACACAACAAUUUCACAUAAACGCACAUUCGUUAACAUUCAUUCCUUUCGCCAAGUAUCUUGAAUCAUUCUCUACGCUUGGUUUCAUUACCUCGCGUUUGACUACUGUAUCAACAACAUACGAGAACAUACAAAUUCGUCCUUGUUGCUCAGGUCGCUAAGCUUUAUACAUUCCAUUCAAUGCAUAACUCAGCUUCUUAUCACCAUGUGGUCCGUACACCCUAGGGCGGCCUUGACUCUUUAUGUGCACAUAGCAGUUAGCAUCAUCUCAAGGAAUCAACUAAUGGUUUUGAAAACCAUUUCAUAGCACGAAAAUCGUAAUCAUUAAAUCAAGCUGUAACACUUUCUCAUUUGAAACACUUUUACAGCUUCUUUUUUAAACACUUUCUCAUUUGAAAUUAUCUUUCAAAAUAGUAAAGCGGAACUACGAAACAUUUAAGAAGAAAACCACUCACUACACUUUAACAAAAAAUCUCCUCUUCCUUCUCUUCUUGUAGAGAGGAAAGAGACAUUUUUUUAAUCUUACAUGUUAACUCGUGUGGAAUUAGAUUUGACAUUUUCUUAAUCAGAUCUUACUUCUCGCCUAACCUCAUACCACAAAUAACUUUAACCACAACACUUUUCGCGAAUAACCUUAUCACAUAGGUAUAUUUUUACAAGAAACUUUUCUCGCAAACUAACCAACUUUUACUCGUUUAGAACAGUUAUCGCAAAUUUAAACUUCAAGGCUUCUUCGUAGAUUUCUUCAUCGUGAAACUCAUGGUUCUUAUCGCGAAGACUACCCAAACAGCUAGUCAUUUUAAAGCUUGCAAACUUUCUUCUGAUAGCAUUUAUACUUAUAGAUUCUACUGAAAAUCCUUCUUUUCUCAAGAAUACCUUGCAAAUUAACUUCUUAAUUGCAAAAUUUAUAGUAACAAUAAAAGAUUUUAUCGCUUAAUUCUUUCUACGCAUAUAUUCAAAGGCCAAUUUCUAUAGUAGUUUUAGUCGAAAUUUUACUUACUAUACUCGAAUUAAAAACAGGUCUCACAAUUCUUCCCCUCUUAAGAAAUUUCGGCCUCGAAAUUUAAACAGCAAGAAAAUAACACAAAACAAAUUAAUUUUUUGUUACUUCAACUUUCAGAAUUACAACCUUAUAACAAUAAAAUUUUAGAUUUCUUUUUCUUCUGACUUUCUCUUUCUCCUUUCUCGCCUAAGUGAGAACUUGAUCUUUUUAAGCCCAAACUCUUUUUCAGUCACAGGGUUGCGUCCACCAAUUGUGUGUUGUCACUCCUUACUUAAAAUUGGCACAAUAGGUGUCCUAAUCUCCUCUUGCAAACUGUUUACAAAACGACUGCAUCUUUCUCCCUUAUCUACGAUUAAUAUAAAGGCAUAUUUCGUCAAUUCUGUGAAUUUCCUCUCACAUUCAGCAACUGAGAGUCUUCUCUGUUCCAAAUAGAGGAACUCAUCUCUCUUUUAUUCUAUAUAUGAAACUGGAAAAUAUAUGCCAUUAAAUAUUCCCUUGAAUUCUUCCUAAGUCACCUUUUCUCGUCGGAAAAUAUAUGCCAUUAAAUAUUCCCUUGAAUUCUUCCUAAGUCACCUUUUCUCGUCUACUUUCUUAUAAGACCCACUAGUUUUCGGCCUCUUCUUAAAAAUAAAAUGCAGCUAGAUCCACCCUUCUUUCUUUCAGACACUGCAUAACAUGAAAGCACUUCUCCAACGUUUGUAACCAUUUUUCAGCUUCUUUCGGUUUAGUUGUUCGACCAAACUCAGUGGCUCAUAACACUUUUAACCUUUAUAUUCCAAAAUUUCAUUCAGGUAGUGGCAAUAAAACGACAGGAUUUACAUAAUAAGCUUCUGAAUUCAUCAUUAUUACAAAUCAUCCAACAAAUACUCAACUUUUAGCUCACUCUACUCGAAUUUAUUCUUUUCCGAAGAACGUAUCGCCUUGAUAUCAAAUUGUCACACUCCAAACCGUACUAUCAACGAAAAUGCCAAAAUAGUAGAAAUAGGAUGUGAGUUUUUUACAACUUUGAAAUUUUUUUAUCGCAAAAUAUUAUACUCAACCCCUUUUAUGCUAUCAACAAAACUUAAGACACAAAGGUGGUCGACCUAAACACCAAGUAUAAUAAAAUACCUAUCAAGACGUUUAUUAAUAACAUACAUUUGAUACAAAAUUACAACACUUUGACCAAACAACAAAUACUUAACUAUUUCCAAAACAUCUAGAGUCUUCUUGCUGCAAAUCCUUCAAUCCUCUUCUCUACUUGGUCUAAAUGCCUGAUCCUGGAAAAUGAAUUUUUGAAAGAAUGCCUAAAAGGCUGAGGUUUUAUGAAAUCCUUUUUGCAAUAUCUUUGCAUAAACAUUAUUUCGCAUAAGUAACAUCAAAUAAUUUCAUCUCACAUAAACCUUUAUUUAUGCUUAACAUAUUCAUAACGUAACAAUUUCACAUAAACACACAUUGGUUAACAUUUAUUCCUUUCGUCAAGGAUUCCGAAUCGUUCUCUCACUUGGUCUCAUUUCAAGGAAUCAAUUAAUGGUUUGAAAACCAUUUCAUAGCAUGGAAAUCGUAAUCAUCAAAUCAAGCUUUAACACUUUCUCAUUUGAAACACUUUUACAAUUUCUUUUUGAAACACUUUCUCAUUUGAAAUAAUCUUUCAAAGUAGUAAAGCGAAACCACAAAACAUUUUAGAAGAAAAUCACUCACCACACUUUAACAAAAAUCCACUCUUCCUUCUCUUCUUGUGGAGAGGGAUGAGACAUUUUUUUAAUCUUACACGUUAACCAUUGUGGAAUGAGAUUUGACAUUUUGUUUACGAGGCUUUACAUCUCGCCUAACCCCAUACUGCAAAUAACUUUAACCACAACACUUUUCGUGAAUAGCCUUAUCGCGUAGUUAUAUUUUUACAAGAAACCUUCCUUGCGAAUUAACCAACUUUUACUCGCUUAGAACACUUAUCUUGAAUUUAAACUUUAAGGCUUCCUUGCAGACUUUUUCAUUGCUAAACUCUUGGUUCUUAUCGCGAAGAUUACCCAAACGCCUCGUUGUUUUAAAACUUACGAACUUUCUUCUAAGAGCAUUUAGACUUAUAGGUUUUAUUGCAAACCUUUCUUUUCUUAAAACUACCUUGCAAAUUAACUUCAUAAUCGCAAAACGUAUUCUAACAAUAAAAUAUUUUAUCGUUUAAUCCUUUCUGCGCAUAUAUUCAAAAACCAAUUUCUAUAGUAGUUUUAGCCAUGCAAAAUUUUACUUUCUAUACUUGAAUUAAAAAUAGGUCUCACAUACAUAAUGCACAUAUUAUUAAUAUAGCAUAAACAUACAAACUCUAAACCCUAAACCCUAAACAUACAAUAUACACACAUUAAUACACAAUCCUUAAGCCCUAAACAUACAUACAAUUUACAAUAUACAUAUGCAUACAAUAUUAACACAAUUCCUAAACCUUAAACAUAAAAUAUACAUACAUUAACACACAUACAAUAUCUAACAUACAAAAUGACAUUUUUUACCGGUAAAAGGUCGGUGGGCGGUGACAGACAACGAUGGUAGCGACAGACGAAACAAUGUUAACGGACAAUGACGACUCAAUUUCAUCUUCCUCCUUCGUUUUUUCUUCUUCUUAGCCUUCUGUGUUCAAAUAAACACAAUUAAAAGAACCAGGAUUCUCGCGAUGCAAAACGAAUACGUUGCCAGCACAAGCUUCUAACGACGCAACCACUUAUGGCAUUGUUACAAGCCACCUAAUGCUGAUGUUGCCACUUAUGACAUCAAUAUUACCUUUUCCAAAUCAAUCAAAACGUCGUUUGUCAUAAUGGCUUAAAAGUUGAACAUUUGCUGACGUGGUCAACGACGUCGCCGUUAACGUCACGAUAGAUCUUCCAUUUUAAUAAUAUAUUAGGGAUUCACCGACGCGUCCUCAUAGAUGUCAUCGUUGGGGGGGGGGGGGGGGGGGGGGACGACGACGUGCUCUUGCAUUGUGUCGCAAACUAAAAUAAUAUUUUUAAUAAUAACCUUUCACGAUGUCGUCAUGCAUGGAGUCGUCGUUUCCCCUACUGCCGACACCGUUUCCUAUGUUAGGAGAACCCCAAAUUCUUAUAGUGUUACUAAUAUACUGAUAUGCUUUAAUAAUAUAUUGUUGAUAUACUUAAUAAUGAUACAUUGAGUUACAUUCAUUCAUACACUUAAUAAGGAACUGCAUAAAAUUGGAAAAAAUGAAAAUCACGUAGUAAGUUUAUCAAACCAAAUAAUGCAUAUAAUAUAAGUUCAUCACAACACAGAUGUACAAAACUUAUACAAAGUAAAACCAAAACAAAACCAAUGUUAAAAAAAUAAAACAAAAUCAUUUGAAAUCUAAUUCAACUCAAAAUACACAUCGAAGAAAGUAAUGAAAAAUAAAAAAUGAACUUAAAUUAUUCUGAUCAACAACCAUUAUAUUUCAUAUUGCAAUUAAUGUACUAUUUGAUACCCUAAAAUCAAGACUAAGACAGGAAGAACAAAUCAUUUUUUUCGGAUAAAAAGGAAUGAUUAGGGCCUUAAAAAGUGAGAAAAGAAAUAAGGGAUGAUUAGGGUAUUAAAAAGAGGAGAAGAAAUAAAAUAUUGAAGAGUAGUUUGAGAAUAAUAACAAAUUUAAGAUGGAGAGUAUUUUAAAGAGUGAAUAUUUUAUUAUAUUUACGAAAUGGUAAAACAAUCCGUUAUAUUUGUUAUACUCUAUACUCAAAAGACUACUUAACUACAAUUUUUCAUUUUUUAAACAAGUUUUGGGUAAUUUUGGAAUGGAACAAUGAUGGUUUCUAUUGGAAACACUUUUUUUUAACUAUUUAGAAUUUGAGAAUAUUCUUGAAAAUUUAAAGUUAAGAGAUAUUUUUGAGAAAAAGUGGAAAAUUAAAAAAAUAGCUUUUUAAUAUAAUUUAGCCUAUAAUGAACCUAUGUCAAAACAAAUUGUUUAGGGUGUUCUCAAACCUUCUAUUUUUGUACAAAUUAAAUAGGGCAGAGUCACACUAAGAACAAUCUAAUCAAAUAUAAAUAGUUUUGGCUAAUUUGAUAAUUUGUUUUCCUCUAGUUUAGAAACAUAAUCGUAAGCAUUGAUUAUCAUAGCUUGAUGCUCCGAUUUGGCACCUAGUAAUUGUAAAAUUGAAAAAAACGAGCCAAACAAACUCAUUUUUAAAUUUAUUAUUUUAAGAGAUUAACUUAAAAUAGGAACUAUACUUUUAAUCUAGUUCACUUGUCAUUGUUACUGUCCAUGCAAUAGUUAAUUACUUUCUAAAAGAAUACAAUUAUUAAGCCAUCUCCAAUAAUCUCACUACCUCGCACCAAGUAAGUCUUAUCGAAUUUUGUUCUCUUUACAAUAAAGUCUUGUGGCAUUCAACUUUUUGUUGAUGCAUUCAAAAGCUUUUGAAAAUGCCUUGUCCAACAAUAUUUUGCAAUUGCCAUAUUAACCAUUUGCAAGUAACAAUGGUAGAAAUUUCAAAGAUAAUCCUUGAGGAUGUGUUGUCUCUAGAUAUGAUUUUUGGAUUUGACAACUUGUUGGUGGACAAAAACAAGUGGCCCACUAUGGUUGCUACUUGAGACCCUUUUGGAAUACAAGCGUGUGAAACUAUAGGCUUGUAAAUAGUGCACUACCAUUUAAUGAGCUCAUGUUGUAUGACUUAUUAGCCAACUCAAGAUAUGUAUUGGAUUUGAAUAUUUCACUCCAAGUCUCCCUCAAAACCAUUGACUGUUUCCAUUGGAUAUGAUAUGUGAUACAAAAAUGAAUAAUGACUACUAAUGUCAAGCACAUUUAGUGCACCACUAGACAAAAAAAUUGGAUGUGAGAGUAAAACUACGAUAGCGAGGGAAAGAACGUAGACUAUAUAUUAACACAUGCGAUAUGAAUCUACAACAAACUUUUUUUUUUUUGCUACAUAAAAUAAAUUUUAAAAAACAUUGAGCAAAUGUCAAUAACUUUAGCAAAAAAGUUGGUUGUUUUAACCUAAAGUUUGGUACAACAUGUAUAGGUAUCAUAUUUGAAUCGUGAUGGUUAAAUUAAUUAUGAUUAUAAAUGUUCGAAAAUUUCUUUAAACACUGUUUGAAAUUUAAACUUGUACAUGUAUUUGAAAAUCAAUGUACUAAUAUAAGUAGUGUUCAAUUAGUUGAGCGAGACAGUUCUUUGUUUUAUUUUUGUUUUAUUCUCCAAAUACAUAUUGCAUCACUUAUACUUUAGGAAAUUUUAGUAGGUACCUAUAUGAGUUUGAGGAUUUACAAGUUUGUCACACAUUCUUUUCAUUUUACAAAUAUGGCAAAAUAACAAAUCUACCUCAAGUGUGAUACACUUGAUAUACUCGACAUACAUAUGAUACAAUUGAUACGUCUAAUAUACACCUGAUAUAUCAUUAAUACAUAUAUACAUAAAUGUUGAAAAUGACAAAAUACUAAAGGGUUUUAAUUGAAUAACAAUUAGUUAAAUAUUUCUAAUGACGUUUGAAUAAAUAAAACAAACGAAAAUUUUGUAAAUAACUUGAUCUUUGUCAACUUUUUAGGAAAAAAAAAUAUGAAAUACUUUUUUAGGAGUCGUUUGAGCCAAGGAGUGAGUUAUUAUAGUUUAGUUAUGAUAGUUUGAAUUUAGGGUGGUAAAUAUUUUAUGUUUGCCUUAUAGUAGUAUGUGUCUGUGAUUUAUAUUUUAUAGUAAAUAUAUAUUUUUUAUUCUCAAUUAUUUAACAAACGUAUGUAUUUGGUAUAUCAAACGUAUUUGGUAUUUGGUAUAUCAAACGUAUAUGAAAUAUAUCAAUUGUGCAUCAAAUGUGUACCAAGUGUAUAUCAAGUGUACUCAUGUAUGGUGUAACGCCUCAAAAAUUAAAAUGACUUUUUAAGAUAAUUAUCUUAGUUUUGUUUAACUUGUUGGGCGUUAUUUGAUUUCGUUCAAAGAAAAUUAUUUGGUCUUGUGAAAAUUAAAACUUAUUAAAUAAUUUGGAUGUUAUUUAAUUAAAUUGAAUAGUGAAAAUUUCGUUGAAGAUUUGAUAAAUAUAUGGAUAUAUGGAUAUAUAUAUAAUUAUUAUAGAAAAUGAAAAGAUAAUUAUAUUUGUUAAAAUAUAAUUAUUUAAGAGAAAAAUGUUGUAUUUUGUAGAGAAGACAGAUGAAUUAUUUGUGGGAGAAUAAUUAUUUGGAGAGAGGAUAUUUGUUUAGAAAAGGAAAAAGAAAAUAAUUAUAUUUUGAAAAAAAUAUAAUUGUUUGUAAAAGUAUAAUUAUUUUGGUAAAAGAAUAAAGUUAGUUGAAUUUGAUGAGAUGUAAUGAAAAAGGUGGAUUUAAUUUUUGGAAAGGAUAAUUAUUUUGGAAAGGUAAAAGUUGAUUUGAUGGAAGAUUUAAUUGAAGAAAGAGAUGAUGAAUUUUAUUUAGUUGAAAAAGUGAAGUUAAUUAUAUGAUGAAAUAUAAUUACCCGAAAAUAAGACCAUUAAUUAGGAGAGAUGAUUGAUUUGAUUGGACAAAAAAAUAUUAUGAAUUUAAUUAAGAGAGAAUAAUGAUUUAAAUAAAUAUAUAUGUUUAUUAUAUAUUUUGGCGAGAGAAUAAUAAUAAUAGUAAAUUAUUAUUAUUAUUAUUAUUAAUUGUUAUGAAUGCAUAUUUGGUAAGGAAAAGGAAACGGUAAAGAUUGAGGAAAUCUGACGAACGACAUGAAGAAUUUGUGAUAUGUCAUAUGGAGACAUAGUUUUGUUAUCGUUUUUCAUUGUUCGUUUUAAGUGUUUUGAGUUGAAAUAUUUUUUUAUCUAUUUUUUUAUUAUCUUUAAAAUUUGUAAAACCUGUUGCAGCAUGUUUUCAUGGUAUUUUUAAUGAAAAUUUAGUUUUUCUUUUUUUAAUAAAUUGUCAAAAUAGUUAUUUAUCUUUAAAGUAAUGACCGUGUAACUUAGUAUAAAAAGUUGAGUCGUUACAUGUAGCAAAUGCAUAUAUCAACUAUAUAUCAAGUAGGCGUGCAAAUGAGUUGGAUUAGGGGACAUUCCCAUAUAUAGGUUGGUUGGGUUGGCAACCCGAAUAGUAUUCUCAACCCAACUCUUAAAAUAUGGAUUGAGUUGUCAGUUUGUAUUCUUUUUUCUCAUUCCUAAUGAAUAAUCACUAACAUUUGAAUGUCAGAGACUAAGAAGGAGACAAUGACCAUUGGAGAUGAGAGGGAGAGAGUGAGUUAGAGAGAUAAUGAGACACAACGUGAAGACUAAAGUUGAGCAAAGUGAGGAUGAAUCGUGAGUCCACGACCUACUUUUUUUUCAUUUACUAAAUUAAUAGUAUAAAUAUAAAUAUAUAAACAUAAAUAAAUAAUAAAUAUAUAAUUAAUUCGAGUUGUGUUAGGUUGAACCUGAUUUUUCAACCCCUAACUCAAGAUCCAACCCAAAAAAAAAAAAAAAACAAAACAACCAAACCCAAUCCAAGUUUUAAACUAACCCAACUCACCCCAACUCUUAUAAUAUGGGUUGGAGUUGGGUAGUCCAAUUUAUUUGGAUUGUCAGAUUGCUCUUACAACCCUACUAUCAGGUAUAUCAAUUGUCUAUUAUGAGGGUAUCAACAAAGUGUAUAUUACAAAUGUAUGAACUGUAUGAAAGUGGAUAUGAGUAGCGUAUCAAAUGUAUAUUAGUAGUGCAUGGAGUGUAUCAAGUAUGUAUAUAUAUAUCAGUGGGGUAUCAAGGUAUAACAGGUGUAUCAUGUGCGUUGGACUUUUUUUUUCCUGAUUGUAAAACUACAUAUGUGAUUUGUGCUAUAGACUUCAAAAUUUUAAACUCAUAGUACUAUACAUGCUUCUACUUUUGUACAUCUAAUGGAACAGGAAAAUUACACAAAUUAGAAAAUAAAUAUAAUCAAUAGCACAAGGGAACCAAAUUUUCAAAAAGAGAAAUUUUUUACUAGUCAUAUGGUAAUUUUUUUAAAAUGCCAAUUUUGCCAUUUAGUUUCAUUCCUCUUAUGCUUUCAGUGAUGACUUUUAUCAUUGAUAUUAUACUAUCAGUGAUGACUUCUAUUAAUGAUAUCAUGUCUAAUAUUCAAUAUGUUUUUCAUGAAUUUAUCAUUGAUAACUUGAACAUUGAAUUCUAAAUGAAAUAAAUAAUGCACAACCUAAAAUCAAUAAUUUAUUUCAACAAAACUUGCAACUAUAUUAAUUUCAUUUAUACAAUCAAUGAUAGAAGCUAUCAUAAGGAUAGUAUGUUAUUAGUGACUCAAAGGUAUUACCAAUAGCAUACUAAUCUGAUAUCUCUCUUUUUUUUUGUCAAUUUAUGCUAAAAACAAACAAGCACAAUUUCACUUUAUAGUAGCAUUACAUUCAUAUCAUUGAUGUAACCUAUUAUGGAUAUUAUUUAUAGAUGCUAUUAGUGAUAUCCUAUUGUUGCUACCACUGAUAGAUAUUAUAAGUCAUAGCACUGAUAGAUAUUAUAAGUGAUAGCAAUAGAAAAAUAUCAAUUGCUAACCUAAUUAAACCUUAUCAAUUAAAAAUUGAUAUGUUUACCAAAGAGAUAUCCUUCAAAUGAUAUUGCUUAUAGUUACUAUUAGUGAUAUCCUUCUAAUUGAUCAACCAUUGAUAGAUAAUGUUAGUGAUAUCAUUUUACGUUGAUAUCAACAUAGAAAAAUUACUUAUAAUAGCUAUUAGGAAUAUCAAUUGUUAGCAACAACACUAAUAAAAGAUAUGAGUGAUAGUAACUGAUAUCACAUUUCUUAAAUUGAAAGCUAUCAAUGAUAGCAGUUAUCAGCGAUAGUAGCUAACUAUAGCAACUGAUACCAUAUUUCUCAAAUUAAAAGUUACUCUACCCUUUAGUGACUAACAUUGAUAAAAGCUAUCAUUGAUUAAUGUUAUCAAUUAUAUCAAGUGAUAACAUAUUUCUCAAAUUAAAAGUUAUUAGUGAUAACAUCUAUCAGUUAUAGCAACAUAUAAAAGCUAUCAGUUGCUAUCAAUUAUAGCUUUCAACUUAAGAAAAACAGAAAAAUAUUGGUAAUGGUGACAAAUUAUCACUGAUAGUAGCCAUAUGUGAUAACAACUAUUAGUGAUAUUCACUAAUUGUAGCUAUUAGUGAUUGCUUUCAAUGUGAAAACAUUGAGAAGAAUUGUGUGAAAUAAUCAUUUUUCAAAUUGAAAGCUAUUAGUGAUAGCAUAUAUCACUUAUAGCAGCUAUCAGUGAUAGUUUUUAAAUUGAGAAAUUCGACAAAAAAAACGUCUAAAGUGGUGGUUGGACAUAGGUAUUUUAGUCUUUUACUAUUUUUUGUGCUAUAUAUGCAAUUAUUUUAGGAGUUAUUAAAAAAUAUAAUAAACUGACAAAAUAUUUACACUGUAUAGAACAGUUUUGAAAACGGGAAAAGUUCACAUGCCCACAAUGAGAAAUGCCAAAAAUUCCUUAGUCAACACUCGAAUAAUCAACCACACACGCACAUGUAAUUCUUCUUCUAAACGGUCAUGAUACGCGAUCUUGUAGGUAGUAUCAACGAGAUUGUGUUGUGUUUUUAAACGAUCGAAAAAGAGGUUCAAAUUUAAAUGAUCGUGUUAACCAUACUAAACGAUCGUGUUAACCAAGUAAGCGAUCGUUUAAAUUAUAUCAAAGUGAUAUGUAAACCAUCUUGAUAUUUUGGAUGAAGAGCUGGAAGAAAGAAAGAGAAGAUGAAGAAAGAAAUAAAAAGAAGGCGAAUAAAAAUAAAAGAAACAAUAUCAAAGGCAAAUAAAAAAUUUAUAAAACGAUAUUAUUGGCUUCCUAGGCUUUUUAUUUUUGUUAAACAAGCCUAAAUAUUUUGGUGUUUUAUUACAUUUAUGAAAUUUAACAUUUUAAAACUUAGGGACCGUUUGGUUGAAGGAAAGGAAUAAGGGGAAAAAGGAAUAAGAAAAAUGGGGGAUUAAGGGGAGGAAAAAAUUAUUAUAAUCCUUGUUUGGGGGAAGGAUUAAGUGAAAGGAUUAUGGAUGAUUAUUAUAAUCCUUGUUCGGGAGAAGUAUUAUUUGGGGGAAGGAUUGUGACAAAAAAAAAUUGUAUUUUUUUUUUCAUUUGUGUAAUUUUUUUUUAUUUGUAUGUUAACUCCAAUAUGAUAAAAAUACAUAAUUAUUUUUUUCCUGAAAAUGAAAUUAUUGUUUUUUAUCACGAAUCCAAUACAAAAUGAAAAAUGUGCUAAUAUUUUUUGCAUUUGUGUAAAUUGUUUGUAUCGUAAAACCUUUACAACAAAAAAUUGUAUUCAAAUUCAUUUUCUUUAGUUAGGUUGUAUCGUAAUCCAAGCGUUUACAAAAAAAUUGUAUUGAUUUUUUUUUUAUUUUGUAAAUAUUAUUUUUACUUAACGUACACCUAAUAUACUUUGAAAAUUAAAGUUUUUUUUUUUUUUCCAUUUGUACCAUAGUUUUUUCUUUCAUUUUUAACAUUAAAUCAAGUACACAAAAUAAAGUGUAUUAAUUUUUUUUAGUUGUGUAAAAUAUGUUUAUGAAAUUUAUAUCGUAAAUUCAAUUUACAUAGAAAUUGUAUUAUUUAAUUUUUCAUUUGUCUUCAAAUUUGUAGUUUAAUUUAAUCCGUAAAUCCAAUACCUUAAAAAUAUAUAUAUAUUUUUUAAUUUACGGCAAAUAUUUAUUUUUUUCUACCGCAACCCCAUAUGAGAAAGAACUUAAGGGGAUAAUCCUUAAUCCUUUGGGAUGAUCCUUUCCCAAACGGUCCACGUAGAACUAAAAUAGUAAAUUUUAAAACUCGUUCAAGAAACUCACAUGUUAAAAAAAAAAGUAUUUCUCCGUUAAAAAAUAAUUAGAUAAUAAGGUCUAAAAUCAUACAAAAGAAUUAACCCAAAAAAUUCAAAUUACAAGUUAUCCUCUUACUUUUUUUCUUUUUGUUUUUUUUAUCAACUUAACCUAAUGCCCUUAAACAACUCACUACCAAAUAUUUGUUGAGAGUGAGCCACUAAUUUUGAAUCCCUUUGAUAUGGAAAUCCACUAACAAUACUCAUUCAACCUAUGGAAUUAUACCUAAAGGAAAGUGUUGAAACAAAUAAAAGACGAACAAAACAGAAUAUUUGGGAUCUGAAUAUUCAUAUCCACCUAAAAGACACCUUUUGUGUUUGAGUGGAAAUAUUUUAGAAUACUCUCUCAUGCGGGUCUUCUUUGUUCGUCACUAUAUCGCUGUUUUCUUCCUCCAACCAUACUUCAAUAAUUAUUUUGCACACUUACCUUUCAUCUUUGGACCAAAUUUGCAGUCAUUUCAAUCGAAAUAUACAACUUUCAACUUUAGUGGUACUUCUUUUGCUACGAGUAUCUUCAAGAUAUAGUCUCACCAAACCUAUAGAAGCAAUAAACUCCAUUUCUUUUAUUCAAUUAAAAUAAGUAAUAUAUGGUCAUAUUAUAUCAUUGUAAUUAUAAAAAGAUAAAUGAACAUCAACCAAGUUCAUAUAAUUUAAUUAGUGAUACUUUAUAUUCAACCUACAAAUAUGUGGAUAACUAUAACUAGUUGUACAGUUUAUAAAUAUAUUUUGACAAAAAAGAACUUGAAUUAAAAUUUAAUUUUAGAAUCGGUUAUCGAAUAGGUACAUAUAUGAAGUGGGAGGACAACUAUGCUUUUUUUAAUUCUUCAUGUUCCCACUUGUCCUUGUUGGUGAUUUAUUCAUUUCAUCGGAAAAUAUUUAUUUCUUCUUCAUUAUCUCUCAUAUAUUUCCUCUUCCAAAUCUAAACAAUCGUGUACUAAGAUCUAAACGAUUUUGGACCAAGAUUGUGUACAAAAAUUGUUUAGAUACUGAUACACGAUCGUUUAGCUCUUGGUAAAUGAUCGUGUACUAAUAUCUAAACAAUCUUGGUUCAUGGUCGUAUACCAAUGUCUGAACGGUCGUCUACCAAGCUUUUAGCGUACAUGUGUAGCCAUCUAAUCAAGGAAUACUUUUGCUAUUUUGUACUAUGGGUCUGUUGAUUUUUUUGUAUUCAAAAUUGUUCGAUCUAUACAAUAUAAAUAUUUUCCUAGUUUGUUAUUUUUUUUUUUUAAAAAAAAGCUCCAUUGAAUUACUAUGUGUUUUUUCAUUAAAAAAAUUAUUCAAGCAAGUCUAAAAUUUAAAAUAAAGAAAGAUAAACAAAAUAUAAAUUUGGAAUUGUAACAUCUUUAAGAGUUUUAGAAGAAAUAUCUUGAUAUUAGAGGAAUAUAUAUAUCAUGUAUGGGUCUUCCAACUAAAUUUAUAAGUGCAUAUUCCAACAUGGAGCAUUCUAGUCACUAUUCACUUUAGUGAGUAUUUUUUAAGUGGUUAAAGAUUGACCUUCGAUCUUUUUAUUGAGUCUAUGGACACUAAGAAAGUGUCUUGACAUAUAGACAAGAAACCAUUUUAUUUUGGAACAACAUUGUCGAAACUUUUAAUACUUGAAGAUAAAUUUAAUUGAACAUUAUAUAUUAGUGCCUAGCCUAAUUAACCAUUAGACUGAGAGUUCUCCCCAUAAACCAACACAAGCAUUUCAAUAUGCUCUGUCCUCAUUCAUAUGCAUCCAAGAAAAAAUCUCAGGAGGUCACCCAAUAUAGAAUUACUCUAAGGCUAAGCACACUUAACUUUGGAGUUCCUAUAAUCGAACCACCGAAAGGAAUGCGCACCUUGUUGGUAUAGGUAGUAACAUUUAAUUCUUUUAAGUCUUUCUUAACCUUACUUCAUGUCCUCAAGAUCCCUCUCAUUCAGAUGUGAUACUGGUUUAUUCAUGUUCCCUUCCUAAACUCGAGAAGUUAAUUAUAUGUCUACUAGGUUCUGCUUGGUUCAUCCCCAAACCACAUCUUACUGGGAGAGGUUCCUAUAUAUCUGAUACCACCAUUAAUGCCCAAGGCCUAGGAUCCAGACCAUGAUUUGAAAUUUGAAUCCCCGACAUUCCUCUACAUCUCCAGUGACCUGACAACAUCAUUCUUACUUAUCUUAAAGGCUUAUUAGAGUUAAAGUUCUCCCCACAAACCUGUAAGGCCAUGAUUGCAUACAACCAACACGAUGAAGGCUUUGCGAUAAGAAUAAUGCGUGAAGAGACUCCUGUUAGUAAAAUGAAAGUUUACGAAUGAGUUAUGCGAUAAGAACCCUUACACGAAGAGGGUGCACGACAAUCAAAUAAACAAUUUAACCUACUUCACCUAGAGAUGGUGAUGUGAUGUCGAUACCAAUAGGUUGGCGAUUGAUGGGACCUGAUAGCACAAUCUAAGUUUAGGAUAAGAGUUGAUAGAGGCAUGUAGCGUUUCAGGAUUUGACCAUUUUCUUCUAUCGCUUAAAGAAAUCAUUUCAUUAUGAAAAGAUGAUAAUUUGUAGAAAUACAAAUUAUUGUAGCCUCUUUUAUAUAACGAGGCCAAAUAAAGAGGUGUAUCAAAAAUCGUAUUUUAUGUUGAAAAUCCAUAAGUAUUUAGACAUAUACCUUGUAUAAGGUCUCAUGCUUGUUUCAUCUUAUUUUUAUCAUUCUAACGUAGGUUUGCUAACAAAAUGAAGAAGCUGGCGAAUUGUAAAGAAACUUGCGAAAAGACUCAACUAGAAGGCCAGUAAGAGGCGAGAAGCAGUUCACUAGAAGACAAAAGUAGUAGUUGGAGUGACAUGAUUUGUUUACAGAGAUUACUUUUGGUACACAUAAUCGGAAAAAUAAUUUUUCGUUUAAAAGUGUCUAUAAAAAAUCUCCUCCUACACCAUUUAAGAUUGGCCAGAUGUCUGAACGGAUCGGUAGGAUGGCCUGAAGGGGUCAAAAAUCCUAGAGAAAGGUGGGAAGGAGUAGCAUUUCCACUGUCUGCAAAGAAAUUUCUUCUUCUCAAAUUAGAUUGUAAGAUGAGAGCUUAGAGUUUGUGUAACGACCUAAACUUUUAAGCUAAAUAAAGGUCAUUACUCAAAAGACAUGUAACAAAAGACAAUUUCUUGAAAAUAGGAAAACUAGAAUUUUUAUAUAAAAUUAACAUCAAUAAAUGUUCGAAAACAUAAAAUCAAUAGAACGAAUAAACAUAAUUUGAAAAAGUGACCCUCAAGUUCUAACAGUUUUAAAGAAAACAAAAAUAAAUAAAUAAGACAACUUUAAAUAAAAUGUCUAAAUUUUGUAAUACUAAAAACUUACAAAUAGAUGCGAAAGUAGAACUAUGUCCUCAUAUGGCAUGCGUCACACCCUUUCUGUCGCUCACCAUCUUUCCAGAUCCUCUACCUUUGCCUAAAAUAUUAAACAUACAAAAGGGUGAGUAUACAAAAUAUACUGCGUAUGAGACCCAUUACUAGUCCCGCUAGGUGAUUUGUUAAUGUCACAGCUCGAAACACCUGCUUGCUCGUCCUAAGACGUGACAUGAUCUCAGGCGAAGUCGUUCAUCUCCAGAACCACCUCAACUGACACAUGACAUGGCAACGUGAAACAAUCAACAAUGAAAGUCUUUAAUCUUGAAAUACUUUAAGCCGUAGUGUAACCCAUAUGAAAUCGUUAUAAAAUAUAUAAUGGAAUUUGUAUAAACCAUGAAGUUUAGAACAUUCACAUGACUAAUUUGAAACAAAACAAAAUCCUUGUAUAAAGGAAAACUAUGUUGGCCUGGCAGCAAUAUGUUCAACAUCCGGAGAUCCAUAAUCUGUACUUGGAAAGUGGGGAAAGCAUUUUGAAAGAGAAAGUCGAAAAACUUAGUGAUUAAAAUGUAACACUCCAAAAACUAAGGUAUCUUUAAAUUUAAAUAUCUUGGUUGAAUUUAGUUUAUGUUGGACUUAAUUGGGUGUUAUUUUAGAUGUUUGUGGAAAAUUUUCUUAAUUAAUUAUUGAAGUUGGUAAAAAUUCAAUUCAUGAGAUUUAAGAAUUUUAAUUAAUUUUCUAUAAAUAUAUAUGUAUAUAAUUAAUUAAGUCAUGGAAGAUAAGAAUAGUUAUAUUAUUGCUUUUGAUUAAAAUGUUGAGAUUUAAUGUGAUGUUUCGAAGUAAGUUGACCUUACACCAUUGAUAAUAAGAUGUCUUGCCCUUACUGUGUGAUCUAGUGUAAGAUACUCUAUUCUUGUUGUGUGAUAUGGAAUAAAAGGCCCUAUUGAUGCUGUGUGAUCUUCGAUAGGAUGCUUCAUGCUUGCUGUGUGAUCUUUUCUUGCUAUGCGAUAUGGCAUUGGAAGACGUAUAAUUCGAGAGGAAUUGAUGGAAUUUGCUAUACGCGUUGAGUUUUUUUCGAAUAGCUUUAACUUGGCAAAAGAGUAUGUCAAACACUUGAAAUAUGCAGAGCCAAGGAAAGGGGUACAAGCGUGUGAUUGAAAUAUUCAGAGCAAAUAUGUGAAACAAAUAUCUGGUAUGCGAGAGGCAUACAUUAUGAUAAACUUUGAAAUGUUCAGUUACUCUGCUAUAAUGUUGAUUUCUUAUAGCUGAUUUUAUGGAUUUACGGCAACAUUGACUUGUUUAAGGUCAUUGUUAAAAGAUUUCACUCACUAAGCAUUUUCGUCUAACCUUUCAAAUAUUUGUUUCAUUUCCACUCCCACCCCUCCAAGUAGCGAAUGACAUCCAACAUCGAACUUGCAGUCAUGAUUGCCUUUUGUGCCUUGUACUCACAUCAUUUUGAUAGUGGCCACUGUCAUUCCGCCUAACAUGUAGGGGCUAGGAGAGUAAAGUGGAGUCUGUAUUUUGUCACUUUUAGAGGUCUUGAAUACCAAUGAUCAAAGUACCCUUAUAUUUGUUCGCUAAUGAAGUGUUCUUCUUUCCUUCAAUUUCAUCUUCUGCAUUUAAAAUUUUAAAUUAUGAAGUUGUCCUGCUUACUAGUUGUUUGGCAUGUCAUCUCGAGAGAGAGAUUCUUUGAUUGUCUAGGCGACAUGCCCUCUAUUUAGUUGCGUGGUGUGAUAUUUGGACGAGGCGUGACAAGUGGUAUUAGAGCAUAAGUUCUUGGGAACGAUCUCAAGUAAAGUCAUGCAUGUGAUGUCGCAUAAAGUAAUGACGUGAGAGUCUAACAAAUCACUACUAUAAAACAGACAAUACUUGACGCUUAAAAACUGUCAAGUAUCUAUUUACUUAACGCUUUUCAAUGUGUCAAGUAAUCCAGUGUCAAGAAUAAGUGAGGUUUACUUGAUAGUUUUUAUUUACCUGUCAAGUUUAACUUCUGGCUAAAGCGUCAAGUAUAUAAGAUUACUUAUGCUUUUUACACGUCAAGUAAUCCAGUGUCAAGAAUAAUGAGGUUUUUUGUUUGACUAUUUUUACGUGUCAAGUAAAUAUAUAAUUGACAGUUUAUAAAUGUCAAGAAUUUGUUUAUUCUUGACACGUUUUACAUGUCAAGAUUAUUUUUUCUUCCAAAUGAAAAAUUGUACAAUUUGAAAUACCAAUAUAAUUAUAUUGUACCUGUUUUGAAGUCCAAUAAUGGUAUACAUGUUCAAUUGAACUAUUUAUAUUUCUUGAAUCAACCCAAACUUUUAAUCAAAUAACUAACAAAUUGCAUAUAUAUCAUUGAACAUAUACAUAUAGUUGGUCAUUACAAUAUACUUACAACAUAGGAUAGUGGUUCCGUCGAACUCACAAAAGUCAUGAAAUAUAACAUGAUAGGCUAGUGGUCCCGUCAAACUCACAUCGGUCAUAAAAAAAGGUGGGGAUCCCGAGGGACACCCAUAUGGGUACGACCCUAAUAGACAAAGUUAACAGAACAUUCAUCCAUAGCAUAUAACAUAUCAUAAACGUCAUAAAUCUGACAUGAAUAUAAAUCAUAACGUCUUUAUCAUGUCUCAAUCAUCCAUAUUAGUCACAUUAUGCAUCUUAGCUAUAUUAACGCAUAAUGAAAAAUACAUGCAAACUCUUAAUUUUAUUUUCGAAGGUCUAGUAGUAAAAUCUCUUACUUGAGAGAUUAGUCAAACAAAAUACUCCUUAGCUGGCAGUAAAAAUUCUCCAAUUAAAUCGAUCUUAAUCAUAAAAAAAAAUUUAGUAUCUUAAUUAUAAAAUUAAAAUUUGGUUGUUGAAACCAAUUCAACAUUGAGAGAAAAAUUUGUCAUUUAAAUUUUCAAGAUUUGUUAAAGGAACUAUCCAAAGGCAUGCAACCAAAAUCAAUUCGAAGAUGGAACCUUUUUCUUUUUUUGUUUCUCUUUUCAAUUUAGCCAUUUCAAUGUUAUUUAUAGACCAAAAUAAUAAUAUUUAUCAUUAUUAUUUUCUUUUCCUUUUAGUAUCUAUCUAUAUAUAUAUAAUACCAAUGUAUUCAUAUAUUUUUAUUCUCAUUAUUUUUUCUCGAAUAAUUAAUUGGGACCCUUGAAAAAAUAGCAAAAAAAUUUAUGAUAAUAGGGUUCAUGUCACUAUAUUUUCUAAAUUACAAAAGUAUCAAAUUUAAAAGCCGAUAACCCUAUGAUUACCGGAUUACACUAAUUUUGUCAUAUUCGCAAUAUGCAAAAAAAUAGGUGUCAUGAGCUGAUAUUUUCUAAAUGUUUUUGUCAUUUGAUGCAAUUUCAUUAAUUAAUUUUUCACAAAUAGAAUUAUCUUUACUCUUUUCCGUAACUUAUUUUAUAUACACAUAUACAUAUAAUUAUCAAAUCUUUAACCAAAAUUUUCACCCUUCAAUUUACUUAAAUAAACACCCAAAUUAUUUAAUUAAAUUCAAUCUCAACCACACCAAAAAUCCAAUUCUACUAAUUAACUAAAUAUUCAACCAAAAAGUAUUUGAUUAAUUCUAAUUUCAUAAAACCAUCAAAUCUAAAUAAAAUAUUUUAAAUUAUCGCCUGAUAGUUCCAACAUAAUUAAAUAAAAUUAAGAUAAUGAAAUUCAAUAUUACCUUAAUUUUUGGGGCAUUACAAUCUUCCCUCAUUUGAGAAACUUUCGUCCUCGAAAGUUCUAAUCCCCAAACAGCUUGAGAUACUAGGCUCGCUCUUAUGUAUAUAUAUUUAAUUAAUUCAACAGAUAAUUCCAAAUAAGUUCCUUAACUUCUAAUUUUAAUUAAUCUAACACCCAAUAAAUUCCUUAACUUCCAAUACCAUUUAAUAUAACACCAAUAAUAAGUUCCUUAGUUUUUGGGGUGUUACAACGCAAGCGCUGGACAAAGUGUCUAGUAACUCACACGGUUUGGUUGAAGAAGGGUUGAAGAAGAAACAGUCGAUCACCUCCCUCAGAAAAUAGAUAAAAGGUCUAGCAUCGAAAGGCUUAAAGCAUUUGAAACAACCACCUUUACAAGAACCACUGAUUCUGCUGACGCGAAGAAGUGCUUAAGCUUGAUAGAAAAGUGUUUUAGGGCGAUGGAUUGCCUCGAAGAGAAGAAGGUGAAAUUAACAAUGUUCUUGUUGGAUGAAGGCGCAAAAGAUUGGUGGACUCUUCAUGCGGCCAAGACAAGCAAGGAAGAUACCAUCACAUGGGAUGAUUUUGUCACCGUUCUAGAGUAUGACAAAAGAUUUACGGAGUUGGCGAAGUAUGCCUUAGACUUCGUAACUAAUGAAGUAGAUAAGUGCAAGCGAUUUAAAAAGGGCCUGCAAACCAAAUUUAGCACUACAAGAAAUUGGGGCUAUCCCGACGCAUAAAAAGACAUCAACAUUAGAAAAAUCAAGAAAUAGCACCUCCGUUGAUACCAUAAGAAGCGUGUCGGUAGAGGCCACUAUUCUCGAGCACUACUACAAAAAUUUAGUUACUUGACGUUAAUAUAAUGUCAAGUAAACCUAUACUUGACGUUUUGAAAAGAGUCAAACGACUAUCAAGUAUAGUCAUAUUACUUGACACUAAAAACCAUAAAGUACUCUAUUUCUUGACGUCAUUUUUGUGUCAAGUAAGGUAGUAUAUUUGACGCCGUUUACAUGUCAAAGAUGUUUGACAGUUUUUUAACAUCAGGUAUGAUCAUAUACUUGACCCUAUUUACACGUCAAGUAAAAUUCUAUAGUUGACACUAUUUAUCCAUAAAGUAAAAUGGUAUAUUUGACUCAAAUAAGAUAGUAUACGAGACAUGUAUUUAACGUCAUGUAUACCGUUUAUUAAUAUAUUAAAUAUAUUGAAAUUUUUUAUUUUUCACUUUUCAUUUCCUGCAUUACGAACAUUCGUUUCAAUAAGACAUAUCUAUCAACAAAACAAACUCUCCAACUAGCAGUUAAACAACAAAAAAAGGACAAAAAGUAAGAUAUAAUUUUAUUCUCUUCUUAAUAAUGUCAUCAACAAUUUCACAAUCCAAUCCAAUAUAGCCAACUAAAAUUUUCUAUAUGUCCUAUCCCAAAGUUAACAAUAAUAAUAACUAUCUUAUAUAACCAAAAACAUGUGUGGUAUACCAAAAUUGAAGUUUAUCCCUAUUAAUCUUUUGCCUCAAAAUGGCUAUGAACAAAACAUUUCCACAAAAAAGGUUAUGAGCAUUCCCAUAUCUUAGUCAUUUACAAAAUUAACAAGAUCAUAUCUAGAUGUGUCUAUUGUUGGGAUUUAUGUCAUAAAACUCGUAGAUAGUAAAUAUAAUUCAUUAACCGUUAUUUAUUAAAAAAAUGUUAUUAUUAUUAUUUCAAUAAGCGUAAUUGAUUAUAUUAUUAAAUUUUGAAAAUAUCUUUGCAUUUUAAAUUCUUUUGAGCAAAUCUUGCUUAUUGGGGAUUAAAUAUCUAAUCCAUUCCAAAACUGUGUUUAGGGGUUUGUAAUUAAUCACUAACCUUGGUACUCCACGUUCUUUUUCGGAGGCAUUGUUGACAUAAAAGGCGGCGCACGACCAUGGACUUUUGGAAGGUCUUAUUAGAUUUUUAUCUAUUAAGUUUUGUAUUUCUUUCCUGCAAUGUGUUAGCAAGUCGGAAUUCAAUUGAAUCGGUUUAGCUUUUGUUGGAAUGUCCGAUUCAUUAAAUUCUCUCGAAUAGGGAAGAUUAACUAUAUGUUUUUUCCUAAUCCAAAAUGCAUUUGGUAAACUAGAGCAACUUUUAUUUUAAAUUUUAAUUUGAGUUUCUUUUAUCCUAUUUUGAAUUGAAAAUUCUUUUAAAAUUUCUUCCGUUCUUUUGUAGUCAAUUUCAUCUCUUAGAAACCUAAUUUGUUUUUGUUUUCUUUUUAUUUGUUCACUUUUCAAAACAUUAAUUUCUAAAAGUAUGUGGGGGCAAAAUUGAAGAGAUAAAUUAAAAAAUUAACUCUUCCCCAAAUUUCAUUGCUACUAAACUCUUUUAAGUUAUCAUUAAAGAAUACAUUGAGUAAUGAAAGGUUUACUAAGAAUUUGCUCUCGGCGAAGAUCUUUUACUGAAAGGAAAGAUGUUUUGAAACAAUGGUGUUUAUUACAAACAUGUACUUUUCAAAGUUUGAACUUGAUAUUUUACCUCUUACCAUUUGCUCUGGUGAGAAUUUAUGUGGUUUUCUCAGAAUAUUUUAUAGGAAUUAGACAUUCUUGAAUGCAAUUUUGAUAUGUUCCAGAAUCUACUAGUGCUUUCAAAGUAAAUUUGAAGUCUUCUAUUUUUAGAGUAAUUAAACAAUACCAUUUUUGAAAACUUAUUUUUGAUAUUAGAUUAAUUUCAGGAUUCAGAUCAUUUGAAAAUUUUCCUUUUUUAUUUCCAAAAUUUCAUACUGUUGAGAAAUUUCUCUUUUUAGGCAAUUGAUUUCAAAUUUUAAAUCCUCAACACCUAUUCUUCUUUUGGAGUUUGUAGAAUAUUAGAAAGACUUUUUUUCUUCAGAAAUCGUCUUCUUUUUCGAAAAUGGUUUUGAAGAAGAUUGUCCUGUUAAAGAAUCUCUAAGUGUUUCUAAAAUAUAUUUUUUUAAAUCCUUAUUUGAAACAUGGUUAAUACUUUGAAAUAACAAAUCUUGUUAAGAGGUUAACACAUUUAUUUCAUUUAAAACACACUUACAUGGGCUUUUUGCACAUCCACAUACUCUUGGUCCUUCAUCUGAAGAAGAUUGACUUGAGGUCUCUGAAUCGGUGUCGUCUACUAUUUUCUGUAAUUGUAAGUAAAAAAAUAUAAGAAGAAUCUGAAGAAUAUUCUUCUUCCUUUAAUUCAUGGAUUCCUCUUUGUGGACACUUAUUGACAUAAUGUCUUUCUUUUCUGCACUUGUAGAAAAAAACCCUUUACUUGUUUUUCUGCAGGUCUUUUAUAAUUUGCAAACUUGUAGAAAAAAACCCUUUACCUGGUUCUUUGACUUUCUCAAAUUCGUAUUGCAAGCAGAAAGUCUUCAUUUCUCUCUUAUGAAAGUUCGAAUGCUUUUGAACCUUGGUCUGGAUUUUUAUCUCGUUACAGAUAUCAAGACCACAUUCUAUUAUCUUAGAGGUUAUUUGAGCAUAGGUAAGUUCCUCCCAAGGUAUUUGAACUGGAUACGCUUUGUUGAGAGAAUUUUAAACUCUUUCUGCCAUGAAACUUGGAACUCCAUCCAUAAACAUUUUUCUUUCCAAUGUCUGACAUUACAAUCUCUAAAAAUGUAAAUUCUUAAUAAAAACAUAAAUUUGUACCACUUGACAUUUCCCAUAGAAGAGCAUUUUAGGGGGUUUUGAUUAUUUUCCUCUGAUAGUCUAUAUCAAAGUCACACUUCGGCUUAGGAAGUGUCUGUUGAUUGUGUAGAGAAGAACUUCUACAGCGUCUUCACAUUCUUCUUCUAUUUCUAAAGGUGUUACAUUUUCAUCAUCAACUUUAAUUACCCUUUUUACUUUUGUUUUAUAUCUCUUUAUCGCUUCUCUUUGCUCACUAGUUAAGGCAUGAUCCCACCACAUUUUGAGGCUUCCACUAAAUCCAUUGAUUAAGACCGAUGCAACUUCUCCGUUUGUAUGAUCGUUGGAUUCGUAGGCUAUGGAACAGGUUAACAUAUUAUUUAAUAUGUCAUAAAUUUGAUACUUUGGAGUUCCAUCAAUAUUCUAAACAUAUAUUGAUUCUCCAUUGAAUUCAGGAUUGAUUGCAUACCUUUGUCUUUGCUCUAAACCAUCUCUAGGGAAUGAAGGUCGAGAAUGAAAGUUAAUUUGGUCCCUCUUGCUAAUAAACCUUCAUAGAUUUAUUUUAUUGACUUGCUUUUCUUCUUCGUUGACGAAAAUAUUUUCAAAAUUUUCCAUAAACUGUGCAACAUCUUCUUCGUUGAGAACAUUUAUCGAACUCUCACGUUUUACGUUGUGGAGACGCUUAUUAAUUUUAUCUAGGAGUUUUGUUUUUGUGUUUUUAUUUUAACCUUGUUUAAAGGUUGAAAAAGGUUAAGGGUUUCUUUAAAAGUAGGGGGUUUAAGAUUUCUUCCAGCUUGAAGACUUGACUGGCAGUUGAAGAAAGCAUUAUGUUAGAAUAGUUAUUUUGAGCAUGAAUACAUUUUAUUUCCUUAUUUUUUGGAGCCUUAUUUUCUUCCGAAUCUUUGAGGUAUUGAAGAGGUUUGGCUAUAAUGUUUUCAUUAUAAAAACUUUUGAAUUCAAUAUCUUCUAACGGAGGGUAAUCAUGUUUGAUUUCUCCUCUUCUUAAAGUUUUCCAAGAUUCCUUUUCUUUUAUUGUACAAAGAUGGUUAAACUCUGUCCUUUGGUUGAACCAUCUAAAAAGUGAAAUAUGUUCUUGAAGUGUUUCAAGAGUAUCGAGAGACGCUUCUCUGAACAACUUCAUUUUUGUUUCAGAGUAGGUUUUAAAAAAGGCAACCAUUUCACUGCGAUUUGCUGCUGACAUAAAUUCAUUUUGAAGUGAUUCUCUGUCAAGCUCAAACUUUGUUUAUGAAAUAAUUACAUUUAAUUGAGAACUAGUAUCCAUUUUCGUUUGAGUUGGAGAAUCAGGAAGAGCUUUUUCAUAAACAAUAUGUGGUACUCCUUGAUCUAAUCUUACAGAUUUAAUCUUGAGGGAGCUUGACCUCUUUAGGUUAGGUAUUGGUUCACUUCUAAUACUGGAUGUACUUGGCCUUGAACUCAUAAACUCUCAUGAGCUUAUGUUUUCUUUGACUAUCGGGAACCUAGGUGAUUCAUUUUCAAACUUGAUUUCUACUUUUCCAUCAGGAUGUUCACUAAUAUGGGAAACCUCAUUUUCUUUCUGUUGAGGGACGAAAGCAUUUCAAGGAUCCAAUGGGGAUUCUUUGUAACUUCUUCCCAAGAGAGGAGUUUUGGCACACUGACAGAAGAUUUAUUUAGGUUGGUUUCUAUCAACAUGGUUUUUCCUUUUGCAGAAGACAUUAAAGCCUUUGGAUGCAUGGUAGUGGUUAAAGCUUUGUAGGUGAUUUUAUAAACAAGGGUUAAUUUCUUAACUCCUUCCUCAAAAUUCAAACCUUGUCCAGUGAUAUCAAGGCUCAAGGUUUUAAGAAUGUGGGGAUCGUCAAGAGACAACAUAAAAUUUGGAAAACAAUUAAAAUAGACAGGGCCAUUGGCCAAAUUUGAUUCAAUAAUUUCUAACAAUGAAUUUGAAAAAUCUUUAUGGCGUUUAUCACGUAAUAGCCAAAACUGGUGUAUCCAACUCAGAUCUAAACAUUUGAAUUAAGGCUAGUUGUACAAUGCCUGUAUGAAGAAAAGAAAAUUCCUUUUAAUGUUUUUUUCAAUAUCAUUUCUUGGAAAUAGUUGUAUAGAAUCGAUUUUUUCGUAAACUGGAAUUUUUCUUUCAACAAUUUUUACACAAAGAUUUUCUUUAAAAUUAAAUGUGUUUUGAAAAUAAAUUGUUUUUGAAUCAAGUUUAGGAAUUCCCCAAUUGAGAAAAUCAUUUUCUAAUUUUGCUAUUUGUAUAGAUUCAUAGAAAAUCAUUUUCUAAUUUUGCUAUUUGCAUAAAUUCAUUAGUAACCUCAUUUGCGUAUGAGGAAGGAGUAUGCUACUCCUCAAUUUCCUUUUGAGAAAGUUCUUUUGAGGAUGAUUUAGAGGAUAAAAUUUUUCUCAGGAAAUUAGACAUUUGAAAAUUUUAAGUUCUCAUAUUAUAAAUAUUUAUUUUUUAAAAAUUUCUAUUAAUUCUAGAAAUAAAAUUUGUUGGACCAAGAAUCUAUACCUGUAUGUGCUAAGACGGAUUAGUGCUGACCAACGGUCUCACUGCGCCUCUUUGAUUCUUGCUGCUUACUGCGCCUCUUUGAUUGUUGCUGCCUGGACCACAAACUUAGACACGAACGUACAAGUGGACAUAGAACCUGGGCUUCAAAAUUUAAUUUCUUGAAGCAACAAAAAGGCUUGAAGAAUAAAAUUUAAUGACAAGAACUAAAUGGUCAACCCUUCUCCCCCAGAAAUUGAAAUUGGAAUUAUUUGAUUACAAUUGUAAGCUAUUUAUUGAAUGGCUUUGAUACCAAUUGCUCGAUGAUUAUGCAAAGAGAAUUAGGAUCGAUGGAUUACAAGAAGCAGGCAGUCAAAAUAUUAGGAGUAGAGUCAAACUUCUUUUAUUUAGUCCAACUUGAUAUUUCUACCAUAGUCAAACUUCUUUUCAUUUCUUUCUUCUUGCUUCUCCUCUUAACAUAGUUUCUGCUUGUUUAGUUAGCCUGAUACGAACAUUGUAUCAGGGCAAAAGUUAUUUCUUGUGUGAUAACUGUGGGAGAGUUCACCAAGGUCAAUGUUUGAUUGGAGUAGACGUUUGUUAUUAUUGCAAAAGAUAUGUGCAUUUUAAACUGGAAUGCAAUCAGUCAAGAUGGGAGAAACAAAAUGAUUCGCGAGUUGAAUCAAAAUUAAGUCAUGAAUCAAGGAAUUCUCUAUCAAAGAAAGAAGAGUCUUUUGGCAUAAAGAAAAAGUGUUUGAUGGAUUAAGAAAUUGUGGUUUAAGUAAUUGUAUAUAAUUGUUAAUGUUAAGUUGUAAGUAUGUUUUAUGUUAGACUUAAGUAAUAAAAUGUACAUUUAUGUAAAAGUUGUUGGUUGAUGUUUAAAAUUUCGAAGACAAAAUUUCUUAAAGGGGGGUAAGAGUUGUGUAACCCCAAAUUUUUGGAUGUUUGGAGUUUAUUAAGAAUAAGAGAAACUGAUAUUAAAGAAUCAAGAAAGUUAAAUUCUUUGGAAAGGUUAAAAUUUAGGUUUAAGUCAAAGUUAAAAAAAAAUUGACUGAGUAUCAAAGAGUAGCACAUUAGGUGUUUAGAGUUUAGCAUUGGGCGGCAAAGAGAAGGAAAGAACCUCUAAAGAGGUUAUUUGGCAUCUCGGAGAUGUGUCUAGAUGUUUUCGGUUGGCUUGGCAAAAUGGCUAUAGAGGUUAGAAAGGGGUAUUGGGCGUUUAAGGUUGACAAGAAAGAAGGAUCAUAGAGGUUAGACGUUUUAGCUAACUUCAACAAAGGAUUUCUCAUAAGUCACUUGACCAAAUUCACUCAAAUUAGUUUUAAAAGCUCAAAAAUUAUGUCUAGUUUGUUGAGGAGGGCUGUUGGAUAUUUGGGAUGCGAGAAGUUUGACAUUUUGGUUAAGAGAAGGCAAGAAGGUCAGUUCUCGAGUGAAUCUGAACAAGGUGCACUCCUAAAAGGCUACCUAACUCAUCUUUCAGCCCUUUGUUCUGAAAUUGUGAGGUAAGGAAGCUAAGAUAUUUUAGAGCAACUUUAUAGUAGAAAGUUUUAUGAAAAGAGUCAUGGAUUUUAAGUUUAUGAUUUUGCUAUGUCGGAUAAUGUAUUCUAGACGAGAAAUUAGGCGAGAUGGACAAAAUUGGUAUGUUAUAGAGGUUAUUCUGGGAAUAUUUAAGAAUUUUUUUUGGAUAUUUUCAUGUUUAAGGGACUAAAUAAGGAAUAAAUAUGAAUUUUUCAUAUCAAGGAGACUCAAGAGGAAUUUACGAUGAAGGAUACAUAAAAGUAUUGUGAGUAACACAUCGAUUUCAAAAUGAUUUAUUAAACAUGGUUUUCAAGCUCCAAUAGCUUGUGAAUAACAAAUUGAUUUAUGAACAUGGUUUCCAAGUUAUUAUUUCAAGUCAUGAUUUAUAAACUGUUUUCAAGUCGAAUGAUUUCAUGAUCAAGGAAAUAUUUCAAAUACAUUCAAGGAAAUAUUUCAAUGUUUUUAUUCAUGUCCGAAUAUAACAUAAGACCUAUUGUAUACAUGUGGUUAACUUCAUACUGAUGGUACGGUUUACGAACCUAUUUUUAACUAUGGGCCAUCAAGACAAGUAUAUAUAUUUAUGCCUUAAAGGAGGGGGAUAACUUCUCAUUGACCGUCCCAUCUUCGGACGAAGGGAUACAUAUUGCCCGUGGUUAUGGAGGUCUUUCUUCGAAAAUACAAAAGAUUUCAAUGUUUCAAGAUUUAUGUUAUAAAAUGAUUGUUUAGUGAUAAAUGUAUUUAAGCUUCGAUUUAUACUAAAAUGUUUAUGAAAAUCAUUUUAUAAAGUCGUUGCUCACUAAGUUUUUCGAUUUAUCCUUUCAAAAAUGUUUUUUCAUUUUUCAGGUACAGAUUAUGGAUCUCCGCGUGCUGAACUUACUGUUGCCAGGCCAACUUUGUUUUCAAUCAUAAAAGGAAUUGGUUUACUUUAAAAUAUUUAUGUUGUUAUUCAAGAUUUUAUACUUUUACGUUUGAUAUACUUUUCACUUGGUUUCAAUAAAAGGAAUUUGAAAUGGAUCACACUACAAUUUUAAGUAGGGUAAUUGUAAUUGAUGGUCAUUUGACGAAUUAAAUAAUUAAAGAUAUAACAACAUUUUAAAAAAUUGCAAAUAUAGCAAAACUAUCCCUGAUAGACUCGUAUGGUAUAUAAGUGAUAGACCAAUAUUUACAAUAUAGUCUAUCGGUGAUAGACUUCUGUCAUUGAUAGAAUUUGACAAAUUUUGCUAUAUUUGCAAAUUUUUUAAAACCUUGUUAUACACUUAAUUAUUUUGAAUCUAAUUGCUAAAUUUGCAACUAUCCCUUUUAAGUAUUUUCAGUUAAAAGAAUUUUGUUGUUGAAUGUUUCAUGUUUUCAUGUCAUGUGUCAGUGAAGUUGUUUCGAUCGAAGGCAAAGGACUUUGGCUGACAUCACGCCAUGUCUCGAGCAAAGCAAAAACAGGUGUUCGGGACAGAGUGUGGUAGUUGUAUUUGAUCUUCAUUUUGCAUGAUCCAUACUUACAAAUGAAAUAUUAGUUAUUCAUAAUCCUUUUUUGCGCUUCACUAUUAUAUAUAAUUUCAUUAUCGAUCAUAUAUAUUUGGCUUUGCUAAUUAUCAAUUUAUAGGCUAAAAGUCACAAUUUAUUACUUAAGUAAAUUUGUUAAAAUUUUCACUAAAAAUUUCAUAAUACUUUUAUAAAUUUAUUUCAUAUUCUGAUUUUUUUUAUGCAAUAUUUGUCGAUAUCUAAAUAUUCGUUGAUAUAUCUAUAAGUUUGAGUUACCGAUAUUUAUACCGAAAAUGAUAUUUCUAUCCUUGAUUUAUCAUAGUGUGUGGUAUACAAUGUUACCAUAGGUGAAAGACGCUACCUAUAAAAUAACAUAAUUUAAUUGAUAUCCACAACAUUAGAUGAAUCGUUUGAUAGUUAAUUACCGGAGAUCUCUUAAAAUUUCAUUAUUUAAUAGUUAAGUUCAUAAGUUAUACAAAUAACAAUGAAGUUAUAUAAUAGAAGUAUAUAUAUUGUCCUUAGUUUUGGGCUCAAACAUCAGAGUAGCACAUAAUAUUGUGUACUUUUUCAUGGAAUGAUUCUUCUUAUACAUUAGUUGAAUUAAACACAGGUAAUCCAAAAAUAUAUAAGCUGUGAGAAAUGAAAUUGUACUCCAAACUGCAACCACAUCACAUCCUUAUCUACUGCCAUGUUACUGCUAUAGGACUUCUAACAGCAUAUGUUCCUGAGUGCCAAACAAGAGAUCCAAAGGAAAACUCAUCCAAACUUUCUCUUUUCCCCAAUGCAUAAAAACUCACUUUGUAACUCAACUUUUCUCCCAAUUUCACAAAAUUCAACUUCUCAGGUUUCACAAUAAUUCUUAUUCCUUUUGGAUUGUUAAUUCUUACAGUAUAAUCACUCCUUGGGAUACCAACAUUUGUCACUGUUCUCUUGAAUGUGCUAUUAACAUUUUUUCCCUUCUUCAUGAACACAGAGAAAGAAGGGUAAUUCAAGUCUCCUGGCUGAGAAAACGUGUUUUUUGAUGAACAUGUGAACUUCCCUCUUGAAACUAAAGAAAUUUGUGUUGAAGUAUACUUUAAGCUACACAAGUAGGUUAUGUAGUCUUGGGGUGCGAUAUCGUAGAUGAGCCCUGGAUGAGAAGCUUUCUCAGGAUCGACAUGGCCAGAACCAAACGCAAAAGAAUCCGCAGGACCACCACUAGCACGACCGACGUCCGAAAUGAGAUGCUUUUUGUUAUCAGUAACAUAAGCUGUUGUCAUGAGCGCCGAUUUAAUGGCGGCAGGCGACCAAUCCUUGUGAACUGAUUUAACCAAUGCAGCUAAACCGCUAACAUGAGGGCAAGACAUAGAAGUCCCUGAAAUAAUAUUGAACAACACUCUUCUUUUGUCAGACUCAAGCUCACUCGGGCUCACAAUCGGCGGCCAAGCAGCCAAUAUAUUAACACCAGGCGCAGUUAUGUCUGGCUUUAUCACGUAUGGUUUAAAAAAACUUGGCCCUCGAGAAGAAAAUGCCGCUACUCUCGGUGCUCGGCUUCCAUAUUUAGUCCCUUUGAAAAUGAUUGAUGCUUUCGCUUGACGUUUUGAGGAAGCUAUGUAGUUUAAGAUGGAUUUGGCAGCCGAAGCUCCAACAGAAGUGGCUGGCAAAACAUGAGAAUCAGCUAAAAGAUCUUCACCUUCAAGUAUUGUGUUGAUUAGAAUCAUUCCAGCUCCUCCAGCUAAUUUCACUUGCUCUCCUUUUUUAGUUCUUGAGUUUGUUCCUCUUUCACACACAACAAUUUUUCCCCUUACCAUUGUUGGGUCAAGUGAACCAGCAGUACAAAAAUUUGUUUCUUGUCCAUCACCAGCAGUAUUGUUAUAAACAAGUGGGACUUCCUUUAAGUUCUUGCCAAAAUACGAAGAAGAACCUUCGAAAACCUUUCCAUUUCCAAGCCUUACAGUGGUUGGGAAGGUUCUAUCUGUGUAACUAGCAGCAACAGUCAUGACCCAUGGUGCUACAUUACUAACAGUCGAGAUGAAUGGGCCAGAAUUACCAGCUGAACAUGACACAAAAACCCCUUUUUGAAUAGCACCAAAUGCAGCUAUGGCAAUUUGAUCGCUGUAAAUUAUACUAGAACCGCCGCCUAAGGAGAUCGAUAGAACAUCAACACCGUCAGCAACAGCGUGAUCCAUGGCUGCCAAAAUAUCAGCACUUGCACAUCCUUCUGGCCAACAUACCUUGUAUGAUGCGAUCCUGGAGAACCGAAGUUUUAAAUAUGAAUGUAGAUCAAUAUAUGCGUUUCUAAAUUAAAAGAGUGAAAAAAAAGUUGUAAAGUUUGAGUUCGUACCUACCUUAGAAGUUCAGGGAUCAAACUUGUAAUUUAAGUUCAUUGUAUUAUAGAAAUAUUGAAUAAAUCAGACAUAAAUUCAAUACCUUGAAGUGAACCUCAUUCCUGUGGCUACUCCCAUGCCUUGGUUAUAAAAGCUUGCUCUGUUUAUAAAAUUUCCAGCAGCAGUUGAUGCUGUGUGUGUGCCGUGGCCAUUCGAGUCUCGUGCGGAUCGAAAUAUCCCUGUUCCAUUCAAUCUACCGACAGCAGCCUCAUAGGCUUGAAUGAAGGUUCUUGCUCCAAUGAGUUUUUUGUUACAAUUUGAAUGUGAGAAGUUCGGACCUGUUUGGCAAAUGCCUUUCCACUUUGAGGGAACAGGGGGGAGACCUUUGUCCUGAAAACUUAUAUGCUCAGGCCAAAUGCCAGUGUCGAGUACACCAAUAAUAAUAUCAGAAGCUAAGUUUGAAGAAUUCCAAAGGCCAUGGCCUCUUUGAAGGCCAAGAAACUGAGGGGAGUGAGUGGUGUGAAGCUGUAGUAGUUCAUUUGGAGUGGCUGCUACAAAACCUGGAACUUUGCUUAAAGAAUGAAGGUUUCUCGAGGAGAGCUUUGCAGAAAAACCUGAAAAUCAAAAAUUUUAAUCUCACAAAUUAUUCUUAACAAAUUAGUCUCUAUAUAUCUUCACAAAUCUUAUCAAAAUCACCUCACAAAUUUCAUUAAACAAUCAUAUAGUCUUUAUAAUUCAGUAAAUUUUGUAUUCAUCUAUAUAUAACAAAUUUCAUUAAAUCUUAAUGAUAUUUUUGUUAUAGAAACUAAAUAGUCAUGAUUUAAAUUCAAUCAUCAUUAAACUAUUACAAAUUUGGAAGUAAAAAAACUAAAUGUACUUUUACAAAACUAUUUUCAAAACUGAUACUAUAUUUCCAAAAAAAUUAUUGAUCCAGAAAGUUUUAUAGAUUAGUAAAAAUAGGCCAAUAGUAUAUUAAAGAGUGGAACUUCAACCUUGGUCUAAGAGAUAAUUUUACUACUAAACUAAUUUUUGAAAUUAACUUUAUAUAUAGAUAUAUAAUAUAAAUAGCAUAAAUCCACCUAGUUAUAUGGUAUCUGAUUAGGUGUUUCCAACUCUUUUAGAAAGUUAAGAUCUCAAAUUUUUAGGAACAUCAAUAUUUAAAAUCUUGCCUGAAAUGACAGUUUUAUAGACAUAGAGAAUCUCGGCAGCAUUCAAUGCUUCUUCAUCGUCGUUGUUGUCGCCAUAGAGAGAUGAGAGUUGGUUGACUGAAUCAAUGAUGGCUGUGUACCAUUGUUCAGGGUUGGGGGUGUCCAUCUUGGUGGUGUCCAUGUGAACUAUGUAUGUUUGUUGAUCCAUAGCAACACUUGAAGUUGUAAGCAUUGUUAUGUACAAAAGUAAUAAGACUUCUUUAAACCCCAUUGUGUAGCUGUAAACCGAAAAGAAAACUGACAACAUAUCAGUUAGUAUUGAGACAAAGGGAAGUUUAUAUAUAUUUCUUAGACUUUGUUUGAUAAUCCUUUCCAGCCCGUUCCCAAACUAUUUGGUAUGCUUUAUAACUUAUGUUCUUAUUCAUAAAAGAAAAAAAAUCAUAUGAUUAUUGUUUUUAAUUCUUUGUUUUAAUAUCAAAACAUGCUUGGUAAUUAUUUUUAGUAAUAUUUUUCUUAAAAUAAAUUAACCACAGAAAACAUGUUUGAUUAUUUUUAUUUUAUUUUUUUAUGUAAAUUUCUAAAAGAAUAAGUCACUACAUUUUUUAGUUUUAUUUUUCUUAAACAAACUCUUGACAGACAUUAUUACAAACAGCAAACAAAAAAAUUGAAAUUAUUUAUAAAAUAUAACAAAAAAAAAAGUUAAUAAAUAUUUAAUGAUUUUUUUUACUAUUUAUAAAUAGUUUCAAUUUAUUUGGUACCUUUUGAAACUUGUAUGAACUUUGAAACAUAUGGGCAAAAAAAAGUAUAUAGGCUUAGUUUUCUAACAACUAAAAUAUUUAAGAUCAUAAUUUUAUUUUUCAAAUUACAAAGAUAUUUUUAUAAAAUUUAAUAACUAAAAAACAAUGCUAAUUACAAAAGUACGUUUGAAAAAACAAAAAAUAGAAUCAGGAAAAUAAAAAUAUUAAGAAAUUGAUUACUAAAUAGACAUUUGAUUUAUUUUUCCUCCGUUACUUUUUCUUUAUUUUCUUACCACUUAUAUACAAUGGUUUACCCUUUUUUCAAAACCAAUCAUUUAAAUUCUUAGGGAGCUGUUUAAGAAAUGAAAAUAAGUUUUUUCAUUCUUUAUAAAAGAAGUUACCAUUCCUUCCAUAACCAUUUCGUUUUCGUUUUUUAAGCCAUAUUUAAAAAGUAAAGUUAGAAAGUAAAAAAUUUGGAGAUCGAAAAUAGUAUCUAUUGAUUUAAUUUUAACAAAAGGGUUAGUAAAAGGGCAUUUUU
rnacentral:lncRNA from 1 species